rnacentral:lncRNA from 1 species
UGGAAAUAACUAUAACUCAGGCUUUAGCAACAAUGGUCACUACAAAGGAAACUUUGGUACUGAGUUUGCUGGUACUGGUUUUAACAAGCAGUUCAAAGGAUAUCAAUCCAGUAAUCAGAGAGGAGGAGGUAAUUGGAAUAACAACAAUGGACCAAGUAACUUUAACAGUGGCAAACCAUCCAUGAAUCCUAAGCCACAAUGGAAUGCAUCAAAGCCUACCUGUCAAAUUUGCCUCAGGCCUGGACACACUGCAAAUAUUUGCUGGAAACUUGAAGAGUUUAUUACUUCAAGUGCUUACAGACCACCACCAAAUAGAGGACCAAAGGCAGCUUAUCUAGCUAACAUGGAUGCUCCAGUUGACAACAAUUGGUAUCUGGAUAGCGGAGCCACACAUCACCUCACAAAUGACAUGAAUAAUGUGAAUGGAGCUGAACCUUUUGCAGGUAAUUCUAAACUUAUUGUUGGAAAUGGUGUUGGUUUGUGCAUAACACAUAUAGGUUCUGUUGUUCUAAGAAUGCUUGAUGCCCUGAAUUAUUCUGAUCUUAAGCUAAACAACAUUCUACUUGUUCCAAAAAUAACCAAAAACCUGAUAAGUAUUUCCCAAUUAACCAAAGAUAAUAAUAUUGUGGUUGAAUUUACUAAUAGUUUCUGUUUUGUGAAGGACAAGGUGAAGAAUUCAGUUAUGUGUAGAUUACUGUGUGUUUCCUCAACCAAGUCCUCUACUUUACAGUCAAACCAAGGUCUUCUUACUCAUGUCGAGUCAGCUGUUUCAAAUCAGCCAAUUUCAAUGUUUUCAAUUGUUGUUUCAAAAUUUCCAAAUAAAACUGCUUGCUGUUUGCAUACAGAAGCACUAUGUUAUCAAACUCCAAGUUGUAUGUUGAAUACUAUGGUUUUGCAUCAGAGACUAGGUCAUCCUAAUACUAAGGUGCUUAGUCAUGUAAUCAAUUCUUGUUCUUCUUUAAAGAAUAUGAGUGGUAAUAAAACAAUUGAUUCUUGUGAUGCUUGUAAGAUGGGAAAAAUACAUAAACUUCAUUUUCCUAUCACUGAAACCAAAACCAAAAAUCCUUUGGAACUUCUACAUACUGAUUUAUGGGGACCCUCUCCUACACCUUUUAUCCAAGGGUACAAAUACUAUGUUAGUUUUGUGGAUGACUUCACAAGGUUCACUUGGAUUUUCCCUUUCAAAACCAAAGCUGAUACAUUUCAAGUGUUUAAAAUCUUUAAAGCUCAGGUGGAAAAACAAUUGGAUAAGCCUAUUAAAUGUCUUCAGUCAGAUUGGGGUGGGGAAUACAGAUCCUUUGUUCAUUUUCUUCAUGAAACAGGAAUCCAAUUUAGACAUUCAUGCCCUUAUAUACACAAUCAAAAUGGCCUUGUAGAAAGAAAGCAUAGGCACAUCACUGAGUUGGGUUUAAUUUUACUUGCACAAGCUAAAUUACCCAUCAAAUUCUGGUGGGAUUCUUUUCAUACAGCCACUCACAUUAUUAACAGAUUACCAACUCAUGUCCUUUCCAUCAAAACUCUCUAUGAAUGUCUCUUUCAUUUGCUACUUGAUUAUCUUUUUUCUCAAAACUUUUGGUUGUGCGUGUUUCCCAUUCUUAAGAGAUUACAAUCAUCACAAUUUUGAUUUCCAUACAUCCAAGUGUGUCUUCCUAGGAUACAGUUCAUUACACAAAGGUUAUAAGUGUCUUCAUUCAUCAUGGAAAAUUUAUAUAGCCAGCCAUGUUCUUUUUUAUGAAACUUCUUUUCCAUACUCUACCGAUUCACAUUUUUUGAAGUCCUUACCACCUAAGGUUUCUGACUUUCAAUACAGCUCUCUACAAUUUUACAAUAUUUCAGUUCCUCAUAGCAAUCUAAAACAUUUUGAAGCUGCUGCAGCAGACACUGAUUCUCAUACUUCUAGUUCUAAUCACAAUAUCAUGUUACCUUCCUCUUCUACUCAUCAUGUUUCUUCUACUGAUACCACAUCAUCACCUAUUAUUCACACCACAUCUCCUAUCACAACUCCAAACACUACAUCUUCACCCAUCAUCCAUCACCAUUCUCCAUAAUCUCCUCUAACACAUCAGAUUCUUUUACACACAUCACCUUCCAGACCAUCUUUAUCCUCUGCUCAUCCUAUGAUUACCAGAGCCAAAGCUGGUGUCUUCAAACCUAAGGCAUUCUUAACAGCACAUAAUAGCUUAGAGCCUUCUAGUGUUGAUAAAGCUCUAGUUGAUCCUAAGUGGCAAGCUGCAAUGCAACUGGAACAUGAUGGACUUAUUCAAAACAAAACCUGGAGUCUAGUUCCAAUGGAUCAAGCUCAUAAAUUGGUGGGUUGUAAGUGGGUUUUCCGAACAAAGUAUAAUCUCGAUGGCUCAGUCUCUAAGUAUAAAGCUCGGUUGGUUGCUAAGGGUUUCCAUCAGACAGCUGGGGUUGACUAUUCAGAAACUUACAGUCCUGUAGUUAAGUCUUCCACUGUCAGAGUUAUAAUGAGCUUAGCAGUCAUGCAAGACUGGAAUGUUAGACAAAUAGACAUCAACAAUGCCUUUCUUAAUGGGGAUCUCACUGAAGAUGUGUACAUGCAACAGACAGAGGGCUUUGUUUCAGAGGGAGGCUACAUCUGCAAGCUAAACAAAGCUCUUUAUGGUUUAAAACAUGCACCAAGGGCCUGGUAUGAUAAACUUAAGGGCUGUCUUACAGAUUGGAAUUUUACAAAUUCUAAGGCUGAUACCUCAUUGUUUAUUAGGCAUGAUAUUAAAGGCAUAAUCCUUGUUUUGAUCUAUGUAGAUGAUAUUUUAGUCACAUGACCAGAUUCAAUCUUGCUGAAGGCCUUCAUCACAAACUUGAGUAAAGUAUUUGCCUCAAAAGACUUAGGUCUGGUUUCAUACUUCCUUGGUAUAGAAGUCAGCUACACAGAUCAUGGAAUACAUCUCUCCUAAACUAAGUAUAUCAAGGAUUUGCUAGCUAAAGCAUUAAUGCAGAACUGCAAAGAGACAGAAACUUCUUUCAGCACAUGCUACAAAUUAGAAAGAACAGCUAAAGGCAUAUUGGGUGCAGAGUUUGAAAAUCUAACUCUCUACAGAAGUAUAGUUGGAGGACUUCAAUACUUGAUCUUAACCAGACCAGACAUUGCCUAUUCAGUACAUAAACUCAACCAGUAUCUAAGUGCCCCAACUCUCCAACAUUGGUUAGCUUGUAAAAAGGUGUUGAGAUAUUUACAAGCAACUAUUACACAUGGUUUUUAUAUUCAGCAAGAUGGGACUUUGGAAACAAUUGGAUUGACAAGGUAUUCAGAUGCUGAUUGGGCGUGUGAUAUUGAUGACAGAAAAUCCAUUGGAGCUUACUGCAUUUUCCUUGGUAAUAAUCUAGUUUCCUGGUCUUCGAAAAAGCAAGCUAUUGUAGCAAAGUCCAGCACUGAAAGUGAAUAUCGAGCAUUGUCAGCAGCAAGUUCAGAGCUUACUUGGCUACAAUCCUUGUUUUCUGAGCUGAAGAUUAUCAAGUUGCCAACUCCUGUUCUCUGGUGUGAUAAUCAUAGUGCAGGUGAUCUAGCUAAAAAUCCAGUAUUUCACUCUAAGUCUAAACAUAUAGAGCUGGAUGUUCAUUACAUUAGAGAUAAGGUUCUAAAUAAGGAGUUAGAAGUGAGGUACAUUCCCACUGAAUAGCAAGUGGCAGAUGUUCUUACUAAGCCUCUGUCAUUUCCAAAGUUUAGCUAUUUUCGUUCCAAGCUCAAUGUGAUCAACAGACCCUUGAGCUUGAGAGGGGAUGUCAAGGAAGCUCAUGUGAGCUAAAUAGUCAGCAAAGCAGAGAAUUACAACAGCAGCAGCUCACAGCUACAAGUUGAUGAUUUGGCAUGCCAGCUAGCACCUGGUGGUUAUAUAAUUUCUUGUACUCGUGACUGUUAGUUACAGUUAGUUAAUAAGCUGCUGCAUGAUCAGCAUGUGAGAUUAGUUUAGCUCAUAGUUGAUUAGUUACGUGAGUAUAUAAAGAAAAGUCUGUACAUUUCCUCUGUAAUCUUGUUGAAAGAAAUAAAAACAAAUUCUCAAAUUCUUAUCAUUUUCUCUCAAUAUUUCUUGUCUUCCAAACAAGUUGUUUUCUCACUGUCAUUAAACAACUCAGGAACCAUGUUCAUUCUUAUCUGUUCGUUAAACCUAAUAAUUUAAUAGACUUUGAAUAAUGCCUGAUCCAGCCGAUGAACAAGAACGCCAUUAGUUAAAAUUUUAUGGAAAAUAUUCAUGUAUUGUCAUAUAUGCAGCCCACCUAUAUUGUUGUUAUUGUGGUCCACGGCCAAUGCGUAGAAUUACUUGCCGAACAUAAUUUAACAUUUUUAACUUAGACGUACGUUAGGUUAAAGACAGAAGCACAGAGAGUACGUACGUGUUAGUGGUUCAGGUAAAAUUAGUUCUGAGAAAAAUGUCACGGGCGACUCUGUUAUUUGGGAUGCAAUUGUUUCUUGUGGCUCCCAUGUUCUCAAUUUAUUCUUUUUUUUUUCUUUUUGAAGUGUUUUACAAGGCAUAAUUGAAAAAAAAUAAUUCACAUGCUCUCUGAACUCUGAAGUUGGUCAUUUUAAUUACCCCGAUUUCCAUUUCCAAGCGGUGGGCUCACAGGUUGUAGUUCAACGAAUAAUUUUAUUAGUAUUCUGGUCCAGUUUCAAAGUCAAGUUCUUACCUAAAUUUCUAAACAUUAUUACUUCAAUUUGCACACGAUUUGCUCGAUUGCGUUAGAAAAAUCUUUCUCUAAAAUGGCUUGUUCGACACGCUUCCUUUGUUUUUCUUCGGGAGCUGCAUUUAAUCAUUAAAAAAAUUAUAAUAAGAUAUAUUUGACUUAGUUUUAUUACAAAACUAGAAAAUAGAACCGCGCUUCACGCGACUUUGAAAAAAGAAUUUAGUAUUAUCUUUUUUUUUUUACUUUACACUUGAUGAAACUGAUAAAAAAUAUGAAUUAAUUUUUUUUAAAGAUGAGGCAGCCUUAUAAAAAAUUUAAAAAAAAAACUAUUAGCAAGCAAUACAAAUAACGAAGCAACGCAAGAUAAAAAAUAAAAUGAGAGAAUAUAUUAUAGAGUGAUUUUAUUCAUUCCAAUUGUGUGUGUACAAAAUAAAAAGAUGAGCUCUCCUUUUAUAGUUACAUAAUCACUCCAUGAAAUUAAUGAAAAAUUAUGAAUCAUAAUUCCUUGUGAGAUAGUGGGAGUUAUAUGAAAGCUAAAGGUUGCUAAUGUGAGAUAGUGGGGAAACUAAGAGAUAUAUGUUAUGAACAUUUAUAUUUAUUUUAAUAAAUUCAUAACACUCCCCCUUGGAUGUUCAUUAUAAAGAAUAUGUCUCAUUAAAAUCUUUACAUAAUUGUUAUUGUGUAAUAAUAAUCAAAUUAAUUAUGAGAAGAUGAAAAGCCAAAUCUAAAAGAAAAUUUCUCUAUUUAUUAGAUAAUAAAGAAUAUACAAAGAUGAGAAAUAGUGAUGCCACAUCACCUCCUCAAGUCCCAACUUUAUAUAUAUAUAUAGAUUAUUAAUUUUGCAAUUAUUAGUUUUAGGUAAAUAAUAAAAAGAAUAGAAUUAUACUUAUAAAAUCGUUUUUGUUAGAAUGCAUUAUAUACUUUUGUAAUUUUUAUAAUUGGAUUAGCAUACUGUAUUAAAUAGUUUUUUUUGUAAAUCAAUUUUUAGUGUUGUGGCCGACACCUCAUAAGAGAGAAUUUAAGUUUUUUUUUUAUAUGAUUGUGGAAGUAAUAUUUCUCUUGAUUUAAGAGUAGAUAUCUCCAUUUUAUAUUGGAUUUUCAAACCGAAUUUUAGAUGGAUUAUAUAAGGCAAGUCUCGGCGGACUUUUGAUUGUAAUAUAUAAAAAAAAUCAUAUAUUUUAUUUAUAUAGAAAAAAAAAAGGGGACAGAAGCGAAGAAAAUGAGAGAAAAUAUGACUUAUUUUUUUUACUUAAAAGUUUAACAUAAUUCUUGAACCAUUGAUUUCAAGCAGUUUAAUGAUAAAUAUUGAAAGUCAAAAUAUUAUUUAAUAAUAAUUAUUCAUUGACUAUUUAAGUCAAAAAUUUAAAUUAGAACAACCUAACCCAUUAUCUUUUUUAUAAUAAUUUAACUGGCAUGCAGUUACGGUAAUGGGAACUAAUAUCGAAACGUAAGGAGUAUCCUCAAUACUAAAACAUCGACUUUAGGGAGCUAAUAAUGGUUUUGUGAAUAAUAGGUUUUGCAUUAAUCAAUAAUAUUCACAUUUUCAAUGUUAAAAUUGUUAAUCGAUAUAUUUGACCAAUUGACUGCUUUAUCUUCAUUUUCUUCUUUUUCACCAUUCAAACGUGUUCAUUUGCUCUCAAGCUAGAUGUUCAAUUGCUUUAUGCCAUGGUGAUAAUAUUUUAUCUCAGAAAUGGAAAGAAAGUAAUUACCACCGAAAAAAAAAAAAUCCUAUAGUUGGCCUUGUUCAGCAGAUAUUUGAAUAUGUAUCAGCGUAUGUGGAGUAAAUACUUAGUGAAAUUGGCAUGUAUUUGACCUUUAUUAAUUUUCAUCUGGGCCGCUGAAUGUUUUUCGUGUUAUAUCUCUAGCGAGCUAUAUAUAUAUAUAGUGUUUCUUAGAUUCAGAACUAAAAUUCGGGGCAAUUUUACGGUAUUGUAAAUCAGUUUAAAAGAUUAUAAAAGUGGAUUUAUGAUAUCGUCGGAUUGGAAAUUUUUUCAAAUAUGUAAAUAUAAACUAAUUAAACAUAUUAUUAUAAGAAAAUAUUGAUCCUCAAACUUCGAUUUUCUCCAGAUAUGCCAUCAUUGUUUCAAGUAUCAAAGAACAUUAAGAGGACAACUCUGUUUCCAACAAUUUCAGCCCAUCAUUAUUUCAGGUAUAACACGCUUCAAGGACUGGUCAUUCUUCUUCAUUUGAUGUUUCUCCGACUGUCGGAGUUGAUUCAAAUAGACCUGCAACAUGCGACUGCCAUUGUUUGUCUAAAUUUUGGGCGCGGCAUUCGAUUAGAAUUUAAAAAUGAACAUAAAUGCCUUUUGGUCAUAUCUAUACUUUCCAAGGUUUUUCUCUGAAUAAUUGUCUAUAAUCGUCUGUUUCAAUGCUGACGUAGCUUUGCUGGCAAUAAAAUUCCAAAGAAAGUCUUUCUUUAAUAUUUCAGAGAAUAUGAUUCCCCUUCAUUGAAGCUUGCUGGACAUAUAAAUUACAGCUGGUAGUUGAAACUUGAACAUCAAGAAGUCAAUGCGUAGACUAAUUGUGCCUACCUAUUUAAAGGCCAGUUGAGUUUCCCGGACAUGUUGAACCUCCGCUUCAUGCUCUCUCCAUUUGUUACCAUGAUCAACAUAACUCUCUUCAUUUUCAUUGUUGUUCUUGUUCCCUCAGCCAAUUCUGUUUCCUUCCGGAUGUCUAGUUUUGACCCCAAUGGAAAAGAUAUAAUCUAUCAGGGAGACGCAGUACCUUCUGUUGGAGUCAUUGAAUUAAUAAACAGGUACCAAUAUGUAUGCCGUGUUGGUUGGGCUACUUAUGCUGACAGAGUGCCGCUCUGGGAUUCUGACACAGGUGAGCUUACUGACUUCAGCACCAAAUUCUCCUUCCAAAUAGACACCCAGAGUCGUCCCACUUACGGCCACGGGCUUGUAUUUUUCUUAGCUCCUGCUGGAUUUCAGAUUCCUCCAAACUCAGCUGGUGGGUUUUUAGGCCUGUUUAAUACCACAACUUCUUUCUCUUCUUCAAAUCAUAUAGUCCAUGUGGAAUUUGACACUUACUUCAACCGUGAAUGGGACCCUUCUGGCGUUCAAGACCACGUGGGAAUCAACAAUAACUCAAUUGCUUCAGCUGUCCACACCCGCUGGAACGCCAGCUUUCACAGUGAAGACACUGCUGAUGUGCGGAUUGCAUACAAUUCUACUACUAAGAAUUUGAGUGUGUCCUGGACCUACCGACAGACAUCUGAUCCUCGGGAGAAUACUAGUUUGUUUUACAUAAUUGAUUUGACGAAAGUUCUACCACAGUGGGUGACAAUUGGCUUCUCAGCUGCUACAAGCCAGUUUGGAGAGCGACAUAUACUUGAAUCGUGGGAGUUCAGCUCAAGCUUGGAUAUUAAAAGUACAAAUGGAACGGACGGAAAAAAGAUCAGGAUAAUAGUUGGUGUUACAGUUUCAAUUGGGGUUCUGAUAGCUGCAGCGAUAACGGGACUGUUGAUUUUGCGAAGGCGUAAGAAGAAGGAAAGAAAGUCUACCGCAGAGAGAGAGACCUUAACUUCCAUUAAUGACGACCUUGAAAGAGGCGCAGGACCAAGAAGAUUUUCAUACACAGAUCUUGCCUCUGCAACUAGCAACUUUGCAGAGAAUAAAAAGUUGGGCGAAGGAGGGUUUGGUUCUGUUUACAAGGGUUAUCUAAUUGAUUUGGAUAUGGCUGUUGCUGUCAAAAAAGUUUCAAGAGGAUCUAAACAAGGGAAAAAAGAGUAUGUAACAGAGGUGAAGACAAUUAGCCAGUUAAGGCAUCGCUAUCUGGUGCAACUCCUAGGCUGGUGCCAUGAUAGAGGCGAAUUCCUGCUUGUGUAUGAGUUCAUGCCAAACGGUAGCCUUGAUGCUCACCUGUUUGGCAAGAAGAGUCCUCUUGCUUGGGCUGUGAGGUACAGGAUUUCUCUUGGUUUGGCCACGGCUUUGCUCUAUCUUCAGGAAGAAUGGGAGCAAUGUGUUCUGCAUCGGGACAUCAAAUCGAGCAACAUAAUGUUAGAUUCUAAUUUUAACGCCAAAUUAGGUGACUUUGGAUUAGCCAGGCUGAUGGACCAUGAGCUUGGUCCUAAGACUACAGGGCUGGCGGGAACUUUAGGCUACAUGGCCCCUGAAUACAUAAGCACAGGCAGGGCUAGUAAAGAGUCAGAUGUGUUCAGCUUUGGAGUAGUUGCCUUAGAAAUUGCUACUGGAAGAAAAGCGGUUGAUCGUUACAAAGAAUCUGAAAUGGGGUUGGUGGCUUGGGUCUGGGGUCUUUAUGGAGAAGGAAAGCUACUUUCAGCUGCUGAUGAGAGUCUGGAUUCGGGAUUUGAUGAGCAACAGAUGACAUGUUUGCUGAUUGUUGGAUUAUGGUCUGCUCACCCUGACCGCAGUUUCAGGCCUUCCAUAAGGCAGGCUAUUCAAGUCCUUAGUUUUGAAACAGCAAUGCCAAAUCUUCCAUCGAAAAUGCCCGUUCCAAGUUAUCAUGUGCCUACACCAUCUGUCAGCUCUGGCGAACCUUUCAUUACAAAUUCAAGCAUUGAAGUCGGUCGUUGAACUUGUGCCUGUUCAUUUCUGCAAUGUUUUUCUAUGAUAUAAUUAAGAGUACAGAUAUUUGAACAUUAUCAAGGCAAUACCAAGACAGAAAUAAGGUAUUAUUCCUACUAUAGUAUUAUUGUAGCACAUAAAAUGAUAAUAAUAUAUAUGCUACCGUGUUAUCGUUUCUGUCGUAAUGGUGUUUUGUUGGUGGCGUAAUAUGAUUUUUCUAUACAAUUAAUAAAGAUGAAUAUGUUGAACCUAAGCCUGAUAAAGUAAGUUAAAUAUUAAUGACGUGGGUCAGUUGUUGGAAUUUGCAUAGUUGGAAACAGUAUAAGAGUCAAAGAGAGAUGAUCGUAUGAUCUCUUGCCUGUAAAAGAAGAGAGACGUGGAUUUGAUGUUUAGAAAGUAUUUGUGUUUUUGGAUUUGAUUAUUGUUGUUAAUCUAAUCAUGCUGUCUUUUUUAUUUUAAUAGUUUAAUCUUUCAUUUUCUUCCAUGGUAGAACCUUUCCGCUUUCAAUUUAACUCUUCUUUUUUUCUUUUUUCUUUUUUUCACUGUAUUGAUAUAAUUAUAAACAAGCCGGCAAACUUGGAUGUCAAGACAAAUGAAUAUAUGAAAGCAAUCAAAUGACAUUCCAGAAUCCAGCUGCGUUGAAAGGUAUUAAUUAUUUUUAAAUUUAAAAUGGUUUUAAAGUAAUUUGUGUAAAUGAGUUUUCUUUAAAAUUAAAAAAAAAAAAUACGACAUACCCCAUUAAUCCAGUGAGUUCUCCCCCCAAAACACAUUGGAAUGAAUGGAAAUUUUUUUUCAAAUAACCAUUUCAGUUUUUUUUAAUGAUUGAUUUCCGGGGCAUAUGAAAGGGGUCCCAAAGGGGGGGGGGGGGGUGGGGAAGGUCAACAACUACUGUCCUAUACAGGAGUCUAACGUCCGAAAUAUAUACCGAUUGACUUGAGGAAGCCUUACAGUCGUUUCUCCUUCAUUGCGAGAGUCAUGGCUAUCAUUAGGGUGCUUAAUUCCGAUAUUAUUCUUCAAAAAUUGCGUUAAUCUUGCAAUUANNNNNNNNNNNNNNNNNNNNNNNNNNNNNNNNNNNNNNNNNNNNNNNNNNNNNNNNNNNNNNNNNNNNNNNNNNNNNNNNNNNNNNNNNNNNNNNNNNNNNNNNNNNNNNNNNNNNNNNNNNNNNNNNNNNNNNNNNNNNNNNNNNNNNNNNNNNNNNNNNNNNNNNNNNNNNNNNNNNNNNNNNNNNNNNNNNNNNNNNNNNNNNNNNNNNNNNNNNNNNNNNNNNNNNNNNNNNNNNNNNNNNNNNNNNNNNNNNNNNNNNNNNNNNNNNNNNNNNNNNNNNNNNNNNNNNNNNNNNNNNNNNNNNUCGGAUUAAUUUUUAAAUCGUUUCUAAUUAUUCAAGUUUAAAUCUUAAUAGAAGAUGGAGGUUAAAAUUUUGAUUUACAUUUUACCCACGCUCUGAUAUAUAUGUGUGUGUGAAGAAAGACUCAAGUGUGUGUGUGUACCCAAAAAAAAAAAAAAAAAGACUCAAGUUUGUGUAAAGAUAGAUUCAAGUGUACGUGUGUGUAUAAAGAAAAACUCCAGUGAUAAGAUGUAUAGUUACACUAUUUCAAAUGUCCUGUCUUUGAUUUUCUUUGUACAAAUAACAAAAGGAUUCAAUCAUUCAAAUGAUAUAAAAAGAUCGUUGGGCGCCAUCUCUUUUUGAUGAGGAGAAACUUAUCUAGAAUUACCGUCCUUCAAAGUAAGUUCAGACGAAUUGGAAAUACAAAAGAUGGCGUUUUAAGAGAAUAUCAAAGGGACCAAUGGGCCUUUGGUCAAAUGAAAAAAGUCUUACACUUACAAUGUUGAGUAUAAGGGUUCAAGUUUUCAUAAGAGCAUUAUGGAGGUUAGUUUUAGUUCUUCCUCAAUUAUCAAUUAAUUGAGUGGAGACAGUCUCUCCCUUACGAAAUGUGAGUGGAGCAGGCACUCCUCGAAUAUUAGAGAGGGUUUAAAAUAUCUGGGCAUAUACUUCAGUGUGUCAAUGUAUGAUGGUGGUCCCAAUUAUAUAAUAUAAUUAUAAAUAUUAAUUAUAAUGUCUGAUAUAAUAUCAGUAAUAUCUGUGUAUCACAUACUUCAAAAAUAUAUAUAUAUAUCAAAGGGCGUCAUAAAUUUUGGGGCAGCGAUAUUCUCUUUGGUAGAGCUUAGACCCAGCCCAAAUGAAGCCCAAAUACUACCUCGACCAUAAUUCCCUCGUCAAUUGUUGUUUGACAGUUGACACAUCCAAACACGUCACAAAGAAUUAGUUCGGUGAAAAUCAAUGUCAUAGUGAUUGAAGAUUGAAGAGUGAAGACAUUAAUAAAUUACUUAACACCGCCUUAAAUACGCCUGAUAUUUUAACAUUUUUCAUAGGAAAGAUCCAUGUGCCAUGUGGAUGUGGCAUGUUAUGACAGCAAGAGGCCGGCUCAAAAGUUCCGAUGUCCACUUCAUUACGAGUAAGGGCAAGCCUCUAGGGAAUUAAUUUGACCAAGCCCUAAAACUCAUUUUAUAGAGCUACCAAGUACCAAUACGUAAUCUUUUUUUUUUAUCUUUCUGUUCUUUUUUGCCUGGCUACGACGAUGUAACUGUGACACAUUUCAUAAAAUAAAUCAACCAAUGUCUUGGCCUAUAUAUAAGUAAAAUACAUUCUGAACAAGACGGCAACCGGCAUUGGUUUCGAUGUUAGGUACGAAUAAUCACAUCACACAUUGUUUUACUAAUUGUCUUGGAGCUUCACCUCUUUGUCGUAUCAAACUGUUUUUUUGUGCCGUAGCUUUACGCGUAGAUAUUGUCAACUCCGAAUUAAAAAUAAUAGGCACCAGAAAUAGGUGCAAAAUCACUAAAUCAAUUGUAUAUAUCUUUUACCUUUCAGCAUCGAUCAUGCCGACCUUACCUAGAACUUCGCUUCUGAAGUAUGAAUUAGAUGCACGGCUAAAUUUAUUUCUAGAUUUGUAAACUGUUGCUUCAAUAAUCCCGACCACCUGUCGACGGUUACGAUAAGCUUUGUAGUUGAUCAAACUUUGGGAUAAUCCAAUGGAUAAAACUUUAGAAUGUCAUGAAUUUGGAAGCCAGUGGUUUAUUUCAUUUUGGCACCAUGGACGGUAGCGGAAUGUAGUUUAUUAUUACAUGGGAGUGAAACGCCGUGGUAUAGAUUGGCUGUCAAAGUAGAGGAGAAAGUUUGUGUUACAUUUGAUACAAUACAAUUAAUUAUUAUAUGUGUGACAUGUAUAAUUGAAUUUAUUAAUUAAAUUACCUUAGUUUUUCAAAAUAAAUAAACAUAUGGCAUAAUACCAUUUGCUUGUUAUAUGACUCACAUAGUACUUUCAAUAUAUUCUACAAUUUCUUUAACCAUACAUGGAGGUAAUAUAUAUGACUCACAUAGUACUUUCAAUAUAUUCUACAAUUUCUUUAACCAUACAUGGAGGUACAUAUUACCGUGUGAGAGUGAGACAUUUUAAUUUAAUAAAAUCAUAAAACUAUAAACUAUAAAGAACCGUUCAAGAAAUGAGCGUAUUAAUUAAUUUGACAAAGUUAAUUAAUUAAUAAUACCAAGCCUUCCUUUGGGAGAAGAAUAUAGUUGAACUAAUCGAAGGCCUUUCCACCCAAUUUUUACAUUCAUUCUCCUUCUCCAUGCAUUUGGGUUACCAUGGCCUUUUCCUAUCAACAAAAUCAUUUUAUUUUCUUUCUGAACUUCAUUUUCUUCCUGUUGCUAGUCCCCCAUGGAAGUUCAGUCUCCUUUAAUUUUCCGAAUUUCCAACCAAAUGUUCCAACCAUAACAUUCGAGGGAGAUUCAUUUGCAUCCGAUGAGGCUCUUCAGCUUACUAAGAAUCAAGUUGACGACAACCUCACCAGCAGUGUUGGCCGCGCCACGUAUAAUCAACCUGUGCCCAUUUGGGAUGCCAAAACACGAAGUCUCACGGACUUCACCACCCACUUCUCCUUUGUCAUGAGUGCCCCUAAUCCAGCUGAAUAUGGUGAAGGAAUUUCGUUCUUCCUUGCGCCAUUUAACUCCAAAAUUCCUGACAACUCAAGUGAUGGUUAUCUUGCCUUAUUCAGUCCUGAAACCGCAUUGAAUAAUGAUUCCAGGAAUCAAAUUGUUGCGGUAGAGUUUGACAGUAAUAAAAACAGAUGGGAUCCAAGCACUGAUCAUGUAGGCAUCAAUGUUAAUUCCAUUGCCUCAGAGAAAACCGUCCUGUGGAAAAGUAGCAUCAAGACCGCAGCAACAGCAAAUGCUUGGGUAAGCUACAAUUCUACUACCCAAAAUUUAAGUGUGUUUCUUACCUAUGCUCAUAAGCCAGUCUAUAGAGGGAACUCUAGCCUUUGGCAUGUAGUUGAUUUGAGAGAGAUUCUGCCAGAAACAGUGAGGGUUGGUUUCUCUGCGUCUACGGGCGAGGUGGUUGAAUUGCAUAAGAUUAUUUCUUGGAGUUUUAAUUCAACCUUGGAAACCAGCGAUGGUAAGGAGAAAAACAAAACAGGGUUGAUUGUUGGUUUACUUGUGGGUAUUGGAGCUUUAGCUUGUGGUUUGGGUGUGAUUUGGUUCAUAUAUUGGAGAAAGAGGGCGGGUGGGCAUAAGGAGGCCAUUGAUAUUGCUCUGGAAGAUGAAUUUGAGAAAGGAACUGGACCAAAGAGGUUCACUUAUCGUGAACUAAGUCGAGCAACAAACAACUUUGCCGAGGCAGGGAAGUUGGGUGAGGGUGGAUUCGGAGGAGUUUAUAGAGGCUUGUUGAGCGAUCAGAACACCGAGAUAGCGGUUAAGAGAGUCUCAAGAGGAUCAAAGCAAGGGAAAAAGGAGUACAUUUCGGAAGUGAGAAUCAUCAGCCGUUUGAGACAUAGGAAUUUGGUUCACCUUAUUGGUUGGUGUCAUGAGCAAAGACAAUUGAUUCUUGUGUAUGAAUUCAUGCCAAACGGAAGCCUUGAUUCUCACCUUUUCGGAGGAAAGGUCAUGCUAACUUGGAAUGUAAGAUACAAAAUAGCCCUUGGUUUGGCUUCUGCGGUGUUGUAUCUUCAUGAAGAGUGGGAACAAUGCAUUGUGCAUAGAGAUAUUAAAUCCAGCAACGUCGUGUUGGAUUCCAAUUUCAAUGCCAAGCUCGGAGAUUUUGGUCUGGCAAGGCUUGUGGAUCAUGAAUUGGGCUCUCAAACAACUGUUUUGGCCGGCACCAUGGGCUACCUUGCCCCUGAGUGUGUCACAACCGGCAAGGCUAGCAAAGAAUCCGACGUCUAUAGCUUCGGAGUCGUUGCCCUCGAAGUCGCUUGUGGAAGAAAGCCAGUUGAACCAAGGCAAGAGCCGAGCAAAGUAAGGCUUGUGGAGUGGGUUUGGGACCUUUACGGAAAAGGGCAACUUCUUGAAGCCGCUGAUGGAAGACUAAGUAAAGAGUUUGAUGAGCGGCAAAUGGAGUGUUUGAUGAUUGUUGGCUUAUGGUGCUGCCACCCUGAUUUCACAAAUCGCCCUUCUAUAAGACAAGUGAUAAAUGUUCUCAACUUUGAAGCUCCAUUGCCGAGCCUUCCAUCAAAACUGCCUGUGCCAAUGUAUUAUGCACCUCCUAUUAACAUUUUAAAGUUCACCUAUACAUCUUCUGGCGUCACAGAAUCAGACAAAUUUUAUGGAACUCAAAAUUCAGGCAGCAGCGGCUCUACAUAUUCGUCACUGUCAUCUGCAGCCUCAACAAAAUCUCUUCUGAAUUCACAGAAAGCUGACGUCUAGGAUCCCGCAAAUUGUUCUCCAAUUGAUUUUUUUUUUUUUUUUAACACAGUUCAAUCAAGAAUGUAAUAAUAUUUGUUUAUCUGUCAUGUACUAUGAUCAAAUAAUGAGUUUGUAGUAGUUUCUGUAGUUCAAACUUCAAAUUUUUUCCAUAGUCUUGUUCAAGAAAUUUAGAUAUGCUUGUACAUCUAUUAGUUGCCGCCUGUCACAUUAAUUUGUCAAGCAUUUUGGGAAACUGUUGCAAACCGAGUUUGAUGAUUGGGAAGGCCUCCAACCUAUCAUGAUAUAAUCUGUCAUGGAAAAAAAAAAAAAGAGAGAGAUUUUUAAAGCUGUUAUUAUAGCAUGUUAUUCUAACUAAACAUAAUUAUUUCAUAUUUCUCCAUAAUCCUACUUUACUAAUGAGAAGCCUAACUUAUCAAAAUUAUAAUUUUCAAAUUUGUAUAUAUUAUGGGGACACUAAACUCCCUCUCAACAACAUUGUUUAUCAAACGUAUAACAAGUUUCCAAUGCAGCCCAUUAAUUAGCUAUUUAUUUAGCACCGUAAAAGUAAAUUACUUUACAAGAUACAACAAUCCCACACUUGGCGUUAGUUUUCAUGUCCUUAAAUGUUUAAAUCGCAAACAAAUGCAAUCAGAUUAAUGAUCUGCUUAUAACGCGGAAGAGAAUAUAUCUGUGUGCAUGAAAAUCUCCUAUAAAAGUACUCCAUACAAGUCACUCAGCCUUCAACAGUCGUUGAACAUGAGCAGAAUGACCCUUUUAACUUUGAACAGCCAAACAAUAGUUGAUUGAGUAUUUUAGUUCUUUUCCUUCAAGAAUACGACAAACUGUGCCACAAUCUGCAUUCUAAUCAGGCCCAAAAACAAAAAUAUUCUACAAAUAAAAGAAUGACGAAGAAUUAAUUGAUUCCUCCGCUCUUAUUCUCUCGAUCUCAAAUUAAAUUUACCUUAGCCGUCAAGCCCCUUUAUUUUAUUUUUACAUAUAAAUAAUUUCAAACCCAUAAAUUAUGUAAAUUACAAAUCGAUGGUUGUCAAUCAUUAUCAAUUGCCGGCUGCCAGCAAAUUUAAUAAAACACAAACGGCUUGGUAUAUUUUUAGGCCAAGCGUACAUGAGGAUGACUGAAAAGUUUAUUUUAUUUAUUUUUGCGCAAAAAUUCUUAAGUAAUAAUAUUUAUCAUACACCUACAAGCUUUUUAUUGGUAAUUAUAAUUUUUUUUUGUAUUCACUACCAAACAUGCUUUUAACGUUUUCAACUCUAACAAGCUUAAUUUGAACUAAAAUUCCGUUUUGGUUAGCUUUUGGUAAGCAAACUUCUGUUCCAAACAAAGCCGCGAAAGUAUUUUUUCCUCAUUUUUUUUCACCAAGCAACAAACAAUAAAUAAAAAUACAUAUUUAAAAAAAAUGUAUAUAAAUGUUGGUUUACAAUGAAAUUUCUAUUUUCAUUUUUUUCUUUUAUUUCACAUUAAAUCUAUGAAGUUUUACACCCCAUUUCACAAAGUUUUUGUUAUAUAUACUUAAAUUUCUCAUCUUUUAUGUUAAUUUUUAUAGCCCUUAUGUCAGUGUAAUUAAUUAGUUGUUUGUGCUUUGGAAAUCCUGUGAACAUUCUCAUAUAACGACCCUAAGGUCCCUAACAACCAAUAUUUGGCAAUUAAUUAAUUAAGCAUUUCCAUAUUUUCUUUUUUCAAUUUAAUUGUAGAAAGUAGUUUUCAUUCGAUUUCCUAAAAAAGACAAGAAAUUAUAUAAGUAAGGGUAGGGUUAUUUAAACCUAUCGAAUUCAUCUCUACACCCAUUUUAAAAUUAAAAAUUUUAAAUCUCAAAAAUAUUUUUCGCUAAUAUUUUUCUCUCUCUACCUUACCAUUGCAUAGUCCCACUCUACUUUCACAUUAUGCAAACUAAACUCUCAAUUUAUUCUCUUUUGACUUUUUUUUUUUAAUUAUGUAUUUCAUGCUUUCUAUGUAUAAGAACUUUUUUUCUUGAUAUUCACUAUCUUUUGUGAUUGGUAGAAAUUGAUUUCUUAAUAUUCAUUGAUUUUAAUAGUUGAAAAAAAUUGAUUAUCUUCAUUUUUAAAUGAUGAACUUUGAUCCUCUUAGUUUACGAUAGUUUAAAUGAAACUAAUUAUUUAUAAUUUGCAGUUAAAAGAAAAGAUUUAAAGAAAUUGAUGACAAUAGAGAGAAUUGAGAACAAAAAAAGAAGAAGAAAUGGUUAAUUAAGCAAUUUCAUAAAGAUUAUUUUAAUAAUAAAAUUAUUAAUUAAAAAAUAAAAAAAAAUUAAUGAGUUCAAAUAAUCUCACUAUAUAAAUUAACGUGAACCUACAAGACAACUUACAAAAGUAGUCAAAAUUUUGGGGUCCAUAAUCACGAGUGAUGGACAAAAAUGUACUGAAUUUAAUUGAAGACCAACUCUCCAUUUUCCUAUCUUUAAUGGUUCAUAUUUUACUGAAAGACCUACUCUCCAUUUUGUCUCUUUUAUAGCUAUAAGCCUAUACAUAACCACAUGCUAUGGAUAAAAAUAUCCUUCAACUACUGUGCUCUAUAGUUUUCCUCUAAAAGAAACCAAAGGAAAAACAGUACCCUCCUAUUGUUUCAUAACAGGGAGCCCCUGUGUUACAAUUAAUGUAACAUACACACUCAACAACAACCACAUAAAUGAUGGGCCCCCAUAAUUUAUGUGGUUGUUGUUGAGUGUGUAUGUUACAUUAAUUAUAACAUAGCAUUUGCCUUCAUAACAUUUCACAUGUCAUUUUUUUAAUCAAGUUUUAGGUACCAUUAAAGUGACCUUUGAUUAACAAAAAAGAAACGAAAGAAAGAAAUGAAACUAAAAAAGUACAAGAAUAAAUAUAAAAUGUACCUGAACACUUUCUUUUAUUAAGUACCAAGAUUCUUUCAGGGAGGAGAGAAAAAAUAAAUAAAUAACCAACGGUAGCUGCAGUAACAUGCAGAAGGUACCUUACGAAAUGUCAGGCCACCAUUGGAUAGCUCAUUGAGUGUGCUACGCCUAGGCCGCGCGCAAGCCAUGGCUGUACGGCGUAUUUGACUAGAAAAAUUUACAUCAAGAUUAUUUAUGCUGCGAUUGAAAUUGAUGUUAGCUAGUUGUAUAUUAAAAAUUAUAGUAUUAAAGUAUUUGAUAAAUGCUAAUUGUUAUAUUUUAGAAAUUAUGCUAAUAUAAUUUUUUAUUUGUAUAAUAAAAAAUCUAUUAUAUUUUUAAUAAUUUUAUCAAAAUUUUUAUUUAAAAUUUAAUUAUUAUUUCAUAGUUAUAAUUUUUUUUUCCAUAACAACUGUAAUUUAAAAGGUACGAUACCUCAAUUCCAAACAAAAUCUUGGAGAUAAUUUUAUGCAUAGUGAGUAUUUUCGGUUAUACAAAAACAAGAGAGAUGAUAAUAAGUGGGCUGAAAUUAUAAAUAACUUAAAAAGUUUAGAUAUUUUUAUAAAUUUUAUAAGCUGUCAUGGAUCUAUGUGGGAAGUAUUUUAGUUUAAUAAAUUAAUUGUAAAUAAAGAGAACUUCAAAGACUAAAAUGGAAGAAGCAAGCUAUGAAGAAGAAAAUCAGCAAGCAAGCCUUUAUUCCUCAAAUUCAAGUUUAAGGUAGCAUUCUUUUUCCCCUGAAAUCUGAACAAGUUUAAAUUUAUUUGAAAUCUAAAUAUAUACAUAUGAACAACAUGUUUAUCUGAAUAUAAAUGUUAAAUUAUUUGUUUGAAAAAAAUGAAAACAUGAUAUUUUGACAAAUAUAACCUCAUAAAUAGUAAUAAUAUUUAUAUUUAUCGACUAAACACAUGACAAGUUAUAAAUAAAUUAUUUGAUUAAAAAAGAAAGAAAUUUGAUAAUGUUUACCUUGACAAAACAUGAAAAAUUAAGUAUAUAUCUAACACAAGUAUUUUUUCAUAUUAAUAUAUAAUAAUUAUAAUGUUAUUCUUAGUAUAUAAUAUUGAUUUUUUUUCUUUUUGAUUACAUAAGCCAAUCAAAAUUUUUGUUUAAUUAUUUGAAUUAAAAUUAACAAUUUUUUUGUUUAAUUAUUUGAAUUAAAAUUAAUGUACCAAAUAAAAAUUCAAAAUCUAUUACAAAAAUAGUGAAAAUAGAUAUAAAGAGAUGUAAAACUGACUCACAUAAAGUUUAUUAAGUUUAAAAUUCUCAUUAAAAAAAAAAUAGUUGAAUACUGGCAUAUAACCAAAAUAAAAAAGAGAUAGAUUAAAAAUAAUAAAAAAAUAAUUUAUAUAAUAGAAAAUGAAUUUAUUUAGUAGACGUAUUAAUAAGAGAAUAUUAAAGUUUCAUUGAGAUGCUUUACUAUUCAAAUAAAAGUUGAAAUAUUUAACUUUUUUUCCAUAUAAACCUAAACAGCAUACAAUCAAGAAUAAAUCAUAGAAAAUAAAUAAAUUAAAAAUCAUAAAUAUUUAAAAAUAAUUAAAAUUCAGACUUCAAAUAAAAAACAAACGACCCCUCAGUUGGCAAAUAAUUAAUGCCUAUUUAUACUAAAACAAUCACCGGGCGUCUGCUCUGCACCGGCCAUUUGAAUCACAAAAUUUCUGUACUGAUUUUGCAGAGCAGAAUCCGAAUUCUAUAUUUAUUUAUUUAUAAAAUAUGUCAACCAAUAAUAAAAGAGGGGGGGGGAUAGCCAAAGUAUAAUUAAAACAGAUAUAAGCCAUAUUGUCUUUACAUGUCCAUUACUUAAAAAACAUUUUGUCCCAACGUUUCUGUUUAUGUGACCAAAAUAAUAAUAAUAAUAAUAAUAAUAAUAAUAAUAAUGUCAAACUUUUUUUUUUGAGACUGAUUAAUCAUCAGAUUACUGCAUUACACAGAUAUUUACAACAACUGCUUAUUGUAGCAGAGAUAUUACACUGAUAUUUACAAUCAGAUAUACAUGAUUGGGACUUACAUUAUUACAAUGAAUUCUAUGAAGUACAUGCCCAAUACAAAUAACCUCUCACAGGAGAGGAUGUCCAUACUCCACUUGCAUUUCGCAAGGGAGAAUGAUAUAAAGAACAUUUAGCCUCCACAAUACUUUUGUGGGGGCUAGAACUGCUGCCCUCACAAGCAUUGUGAGGGCAGCAGCCCACUACUUCGGGCAAGGCCGAAGUGGCAAUAAUAAUGUCAAACUACAACAUAAAAAAUGAAAAGAAAGUAAUCAACGAGCACCAAAAAUCAAGCAAUUAUUAGGAGAAGCAAUUAUUAGGAGGCAAUAGCGGUCAAUAACAAUGAGAUUCUGGAUUAAUUCAGUAUUGAUUUGAUCUUUUUACCAAUUGUUUUGUAAUAAAUGCUAACCAUGUAUUAUUAUAUAAAAAUAUAUAAAUGUCAAUAGAACUUUAAAGCAUUAAUUAACGCAGCUAAAAUCAAUACUGAACUCAAAUACUAGCGAUCUCCGGAUCCAAAUUCAUAACAAUGAUGUCAUUGUUAAAGAAUUUCAGGUGUUGCCACGUUUCAUCAACUGACUGUCAUAUUUGGUGUCAUGUGAUUUGCUUUUGUCUUUGCUGCUGGUUCAUGGCUUAAUUUCUAGUGUCGUUUUCGAUAGCGGGGUUGGUGCAUUCUAGCUUUUAGAAUCCACUAAAGUGACGACAAACAAUCAAAGCAACUUUUUUGGAGCAGAGGUUGUUCACCUGUGGGUUCUUGUUGGCGAAUGCCCAAUGGUACGUGAUGGACAAAAUAUAAUGGAUAUUAAUCAAUUAGAACUUCACACCAUCUAAUUCUGUCAAUAAAGUUUUAAAGAUAUAAUUAUGUAUAUGGAUUUUGCUACAAGGGGGAAGAAGUUAGAGGAACAACUGUAGCCAUGCGUGUUCUUAUAGUCUUGAUCUCAAAUGGUCUCCAACAAAUCCUGUCAUCAUAGGUUAUAAUAAUAAUACCAUCAUAUAUUAUCCUAAUUAUAUGUAUAAGGUCUAAGCAAAAUGUGUUUACGGUGAAUGCUUAGGAAAUGAAACCUUUUUUUUAAAAAAAAUAAUAAUAUAAACUCAUUCAUUUAAACUGAUUAAUUGGAGUAGUAAUAAGUUUUUUUGCUACAGUAGUCUAGUACAUAUUGUAGUGUAUUGAGAUUAUAUGCCUAAAUAACGUCAAUUUGAUUACAAUAACCCAAAAACCAAUUCAUCAAAUGAAAAGGUUGAGAAUUGAGAUGAGAUCAUGCUAAUCAACGACGGAGACCAAUAGGAAAUUAGACAAAAAAUAAGAAAUUACAAGUGUGUCAGGAAUCAACACAGAAAUAACACAAAUACGACUUAAUCGGCAUGCUUCCAUUGAUUCCAUGUAAUGUAGAUUAAUCAAUUUUGAUGUCUAUUGUAGUAAGUUCAACCAUUUUAACGAACUCAUUGACAUAAUGACUCAUUAAACAACUGGCAACAUUAAUUUAACUAACCAAUUUUGACGUAAUGAGUCAUUAAACAACUCAGGAACCAUGUUCAUUCUUAUCGGUUUGUUAAACCUAAUAAUUUAAUAGACUUUGAAUAAUGCCUGAUCCAGCCGAUGAACAAAUUAGUUAAAAUUUUUAUAGAUAAUAUUUCAUGCGUUGUCAUAUGCAGCCCACCUACACUGUUGCUAUUGUGGUCCACGGCCAAUGCGUAGAAUGACUUGCCGAACAUAAUUUAACAUUUUUAACUUACACGUACGUUAGGUUAAAUACAGAAGCACAGAGAGUACGUACGUGUUAGUGGUUCAGGUAAAAUUAGUUCUGAGAAAAAUGUCACGGGCGACUCUGUUGUAUGGGAUGCAAUUGUUUCUUGUGGCUCCCAUGCAUGUUCUCAAUUUAUUCUUCUUCUUUUUUUUUUUUUCUUUCUUUUUGAAGUGUUUUACAAGGCAUAAUUGAAAAAAAAAAAUUCACAUGCUCUCUGAACUCUGAAGUAGGUCAUUUUAAUUACCCCGAUUUCCAUUUCCAAGCGGUGGCCUCACAGGUUGUAGUUAUCAACGAAUAAUUUUAUUAGUAUUCUGGUCCAGUUUCAAGGUCAAGUUCUUACCUAAAUUUCUAAACAUUAUUACUUCAAUUUGCACACGAUUUGCUCGAUUGCGUUAGAAAAAUCUCUCUCUAAAACGGCUUAUUCGACACGCUUCCUUUGUUUUUCUUCGGAAGCUGCAUUUAAUCAUUAAAAAAUUAUAAUAAGAUAUAUUUGACUUUGUUUUAUUACAAAAUUGUUAAUUUUGCAAUUAUUAGUUUUAGGUGAACAAUAAAAAGAAUAUAAUUAUACUUAUAAAAUUGUUUUUGUUAGAAUCAUAUGCAUUAUAUACUUUUGUAAUUUUUAUAAUUGGAUUAGCAUACUGUAUUAAAUAGUUUUAUUUUUAAAAUUAAUUUUUAGCGUUGUGGCCGACACCUCAUAAGAGAGAAAUUAAAUUUUUUUUUAUAUGAUUGUGGAAGUAAUAUUUCUCUUGAUUUAAGAGUAGAUAUCUCCAUUUUAUAUUGGAUUUUCAAACCGGAUUUUAGAUGGAUUAUAUAAGGCAAGUCUCGGCGGACUUUUGAUGGUAAUAUAAAAAAAAAAUCAUAUAUUUUAUUUAUAUAGAAAAAACGGAGACAAAAGAGAAGAAAAUGAGAGAAAAUAUGACUUAAAUUUUUUAUUUAAAAGUUUAACAUAAUUCUUGAACCAUUGGCUUCAAGCAAUUCAAUGAUAAAUAUUAAAAGUCAAAAUAUUAUUUAAUAAUAGUUAUUCAUUGACUAUUUAAGUCAAAAUUUUAAAUUAGAACAACCUAACCCAUUAUCUUUUUUAUAAUAAUUUAACUGGCAUGCAGUUACGGUAAUGGGAACUAAUAUCGAAACGUAAGGAGUAUCCUCAAUACUAAAACAUCGACUUUAGGGAGCUAAUAAUGGUUUUGUGAAUAAUAGGUUUUGCAUUAAUCAAUAAUAUUCACAUUUUCAAUGUUAAAAUUGUUAAUCGAUAUAUUGGACCAAUUGACUGCCCCCAAAAAGUUCGGCACCCGCAAUUCGUUUUUUUUUUUUUUCUCUCUCUCACUCUCUUUGUUCUGGUAAUUAAGCAUUAAGCAAUAAGCACCCGCCAGUUAGGAUGUUUCUACCGUACUAUCGAAUCUCGUAGGACUAAAAUUUAAUUUUUCUUUUAUUUCAAUGUGCCACUCGAGUGAAAAUUACCCAAAUAUUUGAAGAAAUUAAAAUUUUAAUCACUUGUCUUGAACGUCACGUGAUACUUUUCCCAUGACAAAAUUACCAAAUAACUUGGUCCAGCAGACUGACGUAUCUCUCUGCUGUCGCAAAGAAAAUUAAACCGCGAAACAAGAAAAGCAAAGGCAGUACCUUUGACAUUAUAUUCUGCAAUGAAGAAAAGAAAUUUCCAUAUUUAAGAAAUAGUCAAAAACGUUUAAAAAAUUGAAAGAAGUUGGCAAGGAGCCGUUCUCUUCUUAGAUGAAAGUUAUAUAAAGGCCAUUCAUUAGCCAUUACAAUAUGCACGUUUUUGAAGCAAUUAAGGUUCCUAGCAAGCACCAUUAUUUGGUAACGUUCACCAAGUAGAGCUAGCUAGACAACAUCUUCUCUGUUACCUUCUUCAUUUGCAUUUACAAGGGUAUGUCCAUUUUCUCAAUUACCAUCAUACUAAGAAUUUUUUUUAUUUUUUUCCUUUUAUGGGGUUCUAUAAUUAAUUACUUGCCACCUUGGCUUACCAUUUUCUGCUUCUGAAAGUAUAUUAUAAACGACUCCAAAUUGCUAUGUUUAAAGAGUGUUCUGUUCACGUUUGGUAUGCAUGUUGUUGUUUUCAGGCCUUCGUUCAUUAGAAAAUAGUUAAUGGAGAAGGUUAGGUGGAAACGAAAAGGGAGUUUGGUUGCUGCAUUACUUCUCAUGUUCUUCAUCGGAGUUAGUUCCGAGAAGAUCCCAGUAAGGUUCUUGCUCAUCUCUCUCUCUCUCUCUCUCUCUCUCUCUCUCUCUCUAUCAUUACAUUUUCUGCUUGUGUUCUGUGCAUGUUUGCAUGUGAGAGAGAGAAGAAGCGUACUUUGAAAAAGAAGUUUUCGUGCUAACUUCCAUUCAUGGCCUAUUUAUUAUUUUGUGUUUAAUGAUCGAUGCUUUAUAUAUGUAGGUUAUUGAUUUUAGUCUUGCCUUUGUUCCUGUUACACAUAUGAAAGACGAAAUUAUAUUUAUUAUCCCAUUUUGUUGUUUCCAAAAUGGUCGCUUGUAUUGUUUUAUAUCAACCACAAAAUUUGUCAUGAGAUGGUGACCGUAGCUCAUCAUGACUGAGUUCCAUCUUUUGCUUGUGACCAUUUUAACUUAAACAGACGGUCCCUUACACAUUUUCUUACUUUCAAUUUUCUCUUUCCAACGUCUUUAUCGUAUUUGCCACUGUGAAUCCUUUGAAUUGAUCUGGAUGAAAAUGUGAAUUGGCUUAUCACGAUCAGAAAGCAAUGCUUCCAUCAUUACAACUAAAUUGACCGCAAUAUCCCAAAAUAUUUGAUUUCUAACCUUUAUUCCAAUAGAAGGAAUUUUUUAUAUCUAUUAUUAUCUUCAAUUUCUUUACUUGAGUCUUGAAAGGAUAAACCUUUCGGACUUUCGGUUGCCAACAUUCUCUGUAAUUAAUUACUUUGCUGCACUAAAGUAUUACAAUUAUAUCCGUUCGUUUGCAGCAACCCCCGAGAAUUGAAGACUUCGCUUGGAGUCCAACUAAAUACCAAACACCGACGACUGGUAUAAAGCGCCCUGACAAUCUUUAUCCUUCAACUAUUUAUUAAUUGAUCUGCUAGCCUUAUUAGUUUAUUCGGAAAAAGGUGGGGGGGGAACUCCAGAGAGAAAUGGACUUGCAUUUUUAAUAUAAAGUGUUUUCAACUUUUAAAUUAUUUGUGGUUCAGGUGGUGAUGGAUAAUGGCCUUGUGCAAGUCACUUUGUCAAAUCCAGAGGGUGAAGUCAUUGGAAUAAAAUAUAAUGAAAUUGACAAUGUACUAGAGACACAGAAUGAAGAAGAUAAUCGAGGGUAUGUAUGGUAUUCUCUUAAUGAGUUGGUCAUUUUACUUAGAUUCUAUAUGUAAAUUUGAAAUUAAAAAUUGAACAAAUUUCAGGUAUUGGGACGUCGUUUGGUACGAGCCGGAAAAACAAGGUUCCUAUGACAAGUAAAUUCAAUUCUCUUCCUUGGGAUUUUCUUGACUAAGCAUUGUCACAGAUAUGUGUGCUUCAAAUUGAAAUUAAUUAUUAUCUUUAUAUACCAUUUGGCAUAUAUAUGUGCAUGCAGAUUAAUUGCAACGGAUUUUAAGGUGAUUAUGCAAGAUGAAAACCAAGUAGAGGUAUCAUUCACGAGAACAUGGAACAUUUCCCUCCGUGGGUCUCUAGCUCCCUUAAAUGUUGAUAAAAGGUGCUGUGUAAUUUCUUAAUAUUUUUUCCCAACACAACCGCACAAAUUAAUAUAGAAUUAAUUAAUCUGAAUUAACCAAACUCUUCAGGUACAUAAUGCGGCGUGGCGUCUCGGGCUUUUACUUUUACGCCAUAAUGGAACGCAAAGAAGGGUGGCCUGACGUGGACAUGGAUCAAAUUAGGACUGUUUUCAAGCUCCAACAAAACAAGUACGGAAGCAAUUAACUGGUCAACUUUAUGCAUAAUUGGAUUAAUUUUGCCUGUUGCCCAUAUAUAUAAAUUUUAGGUUCUGAAAUGCUGAUUGAUUUGGAGUUUUUUAAAAUGAAUUUUAAAUGUGAAUAGGUUUCACUUCAUGGCAAUAUCAAACGAUAGGCAAAGAAUCAUGCCAAUGCCUGAAGACAGGGCAACCGGUCAGCCACUUGCCUAUCCUGAGGCUGUUCUCCUGACAGAUCCAAUCAACCCAGACCUUAGAGGAGAGGUACUACUUCAAUUUUCCUCUCUUAUGUAUACAUAAUGGAUUGCCGUCGCCUGUGGUCAAUUGCGCGGGUAAACAAAAGUAACAAAAAGGGUAAUGAUAGAUGAGCUUUCUGCAGAAGUUAUUCUCGGCAACUUAAGGAAACUCCCAAUAUUACAAGUAAUUCCCAGAAAGAAAGCUAUAAUAAAGAGGAGAUUCGUUUCAUCAAGACUUCGGUGAUCUGUGUGUAUCCUCUCAUGUGAAAAUGACCCCCAUAAAGUAAUUAAUUAAUUAACUAAUUAAAAAAAUGAUACGAAUGAGGUAUAAUUUAACUUAAUGUUUUAUACGGAAUGUGGAAGGUUGAUCCAUUCGUUCACUGUGUUCCGUGUAGAAAGAAAUAAAGUGCCUUCUUUUGACUAUCGAAUGGAGAGAGCGGAGAAAAAAUGGGACGCAACUUUUGUCUUUAUGUUUGUAGACUUUAUUAGGCUUCGAAUAUCAAAGUCUCUCCCGUGAACGCGGAUGUGAUACCUUUUUCCACUUUGGUUGUGGCUUGUUUGUUCAGGUGGACGACAAGUACCAGUACUCGAGCGAGGAUAAAGAUAUUCGGGUCCACGGAUGGAUAUCCUCCGACCCGCCCGUUGGAUUCUGGAUGAUCACACCAAGCGACGAGUUUCGUUCGGGUGGCCCCAACAAACAAGACCUAACUUCUCACGUGGGCCCCGUCGUCCUCUCGGUAAGUCUCGCUGCAUCCAAUCAUCCAAUUCAUAAAUUUAUAUGAUGUUUAAGCCGAAAUUUUAUAAUAAUUAUAGUUUACAUUUAUCUAAAAUUUUGGUUGCUGCUGUGACGUCCAUUAAUUGUCCAGAUGUUCACCAGUACUCAUUAUGCUGGGAAGGAAAUAAAUACAGAGUUCAGAAACGGAGAGCCGUGGAAGAAAGUUUUUGGUCCUGCUCUUGUUUAUCUUAACUCUGUUUCAUCCGAAGAAAAACCCCUUAAUCUUUGGGAAGAUGCUAAACGCCAGGUAUAUUAAAUUCAACAGAUGCGUUAAAGGAGUAAUAAUAACUCUUAUGAUCGACUGACGCCGAAUUUCGUAAUCAGAUGAUGGUAGAAGUUAGAAAAUGGCCAUAUAAUUUCCCUGAAUCAGUGGAUUUCCCUAAACGCAAUCAAAGAGGAGGAGUCUUUGGUCAAUUACGAGUCCACGACAGGUAGCAAUGAUUGAAAAUCUCUUUCUUUUUUUAUUUAAGGCAUUUAUUACCUUAAGGUAUAUAACUAUUCUAUAAAAUUAUAAAAUAAUAAAAUUUUAUUUUUUUUACAGCUGUUAAAUUUUUAUUAAAUAAGUACAGGACACGGGCUCUAUUUAAAGAAUACUUGAAACCUGUAAUAUUAGGCUAAUACUAAGUUAUAUGUACGUAACUUUUAAUUCUCUUACAUGAAUAGUGAGUGAUGUGGGUCCACUCACUAUUUAUAUGAGAAAAUUAUAAGUUACAUGCAUGUAAUAUAAGAGAUCUGUAACAUUAACAGUGUACUCAUUUAUUUAUUUGAAUCAGGUACAUCAGUAACAGAUUGAUGUGGGCGGACUCGGCUUAUGUGGGAUUGGCUGCACCAGGAGGUGUCGGAUCAUGGGAGAGAGAUUCCAAGGUCUGAUCAAAUGGGCCUGUCAUAAAAAUUUUUGGUGCACUGUGGACUCAGCUUAUUAAUUAACUAAUCAACUUUUAUAAUUUCUCCUAAUCAGGGUUAUCAAUUCUGGACAAAAGCGAACAAGAGAGGGUAUUUCUCAAUUAAAAAUGUUCGACAAGGGGAUUAUAAUUUGUAUGCGUGGAUCCCUGGAAUUGUUGGUGACUAUAAAUAUAGUGCCAAUAUCACUGUCAGAGCAGGUGAAGUCUCAUCUUUACUAUUCUAUUUUCACGCAAUGUUCAUUCUGUAGCUGGAUUUCACUACGAAAAUAAAAAGAAUAAAAAGGAAAAAUAAAAAGAAAGAUUUAUGCUUUUCACACCCGUUCAAUAUUCUUACAAAAUCUCAUUUUUAUAAUCAUAGUUCUAUUAUUGGUCGAAAAGAAAUUUUAUGAAAGUGCAAAAAAUAUUUACAAAUCAUUAAUCCUAACUAUCUUUAAAUCUUUAUAUAUGAUAUAAUUAUUUUUUAUUUUUUUGGGAUAAAAUCAAAAUAAUUUUGAAACAAUGAAAAAUAAAUUUCCUAGUAAUAUGAAUUUUAUUGUGAAAAAUAUGUUUAAAAUUUAAUUAAUUUAUUCUAGUAACUUUAAUUUAACUCUCUGUAAUUUUUUAUUAUUAUUUUUAUUCUAUCAGAUAAAGAGAUUUAGUUAUGAAUGUUAGAAGCUACACUCUAAAAGAAAAUCCUCAUUGGGCCCUUUAAUAAAGAACUCAAUUGGGCCAGACUGAUGGAUAGGCUCCGUUGAGCCACAUCAAAAUGAAAUCUUAUUGGACCAAAAUCAUGGACAGGCCUAUUUGAAAACUUUGUUUGUCCACCAAUACCUUCGUUCCAUUACUUCUCUCUUUUUGAUCUGAUCAAUUGCUUCUUUGCCAUUUUCUUUUCAACUUACAGGUUCCAAUAUCAACUUGGGAGUUCUUGUUUAUGAGCCGCCCAGAAAAGGUCCGACAUUGUGGGAAAUCGGCAUCCCUGAUCGCUCAGCAGCUGAAUUCUUUGUGCCAGACCCUUAUCCGACACUUGCCAACCAAUUAUACACUAAUCAUCCAGAAAAGUCCGCUCUCAAUUACCAUGCUCAAAACUUAGUUGUUACACAAUUUAGCCUUAUGCUACAUUUGCUAAAAUUUCAAUAACUUAUUGUGGCUUACAGGUUUAGGCAAUACGGAUUAUGGGAGCGAUAUGUAGAUUUAUACCGAAAUGAUGAUCUCGAAUAUACUGUUGGCGAUAGUUAUCACGCAAAAGAUUGGUUCUUUGCUCAUGUUACCAGGUGUUUAUUUCAUCCUUACCUACCCAGGAGACUACCAAGUGAUUUUCCAUUUUCCAGGACCUUAUAUUCUAUCAAAUGAUGAAUUGCAGGGAUGUGGGAAACAGGACAUACAAACCAACCACAUGGCGGAUUAUAUUUGAACUAAAGCACCUGAACAACAAUGGCCAUUACACUCUUCAAUUGGCUUUGGCAUCGGCCACAGACUCUGAUUUACAUGUAUUCUGCAAAGCUUUUUCUUUUUAGUUCUCCAAAUUGCAUUUAAAAAUGCUAGCAAUGCUAAUGGGAUUUUCAAUUGUUUUAAAGGUUCGAUUCAACAACCCAAACGCAGAUCCGCCUCAUUUUGCAACGGGGACAAUAGGAAAGGACAAUGCCAUUGCCAGACAUGGAAUCCACGGUCUGUAUAGAUUAUACAGCAUUGAUGUACCGAGCGUUUUACUUAACCGAGGAAGAAAUACAAUCUAUCUAACUCAGUCAAGGAGUAGAAGCCCUUUCCAAGGAGUACUAUAUGACUAUAUUCGCCUAGAAGGACCCCCUAGAACUUGAUUAAUUAAGCUCAGGAGGAUGUUGUAUUUGUUUAAUUCUUUCUGUCCCAUUUCCAAAAUUCUAGUGUAGAUAUGUCAUAUAUUUUAGCAUAUGAUUCUAGGCAUUAUUUGUUGUUCUUAUUCCAUGUCAAUAAGCAAUCUAUAUGUACACAAUAUUCACUGCUGAAAUCUUUCUUCCGAAAAUUCAUUAAUUUUUCACGUUAUCUAAUUUUCUUUUUAAUCAUCAACUCAUACACCUACAAGAAUGGAAAUUUAUGAAUAUUUUAUUUGAGUCAUGAUUGAAAUUGUUAAAUUCCCCUGUUUAAAUAUUUUAUAAAAUUAAACCGCCCCUUCUCCAAUUGUGCAAGUCCCGUUGUUGGAGUCACAAAAGACAAAAGAAUUAAUAAAUAUGAGGUAAUAAAACUAAGUAAUACAUAGAUGACAUAUGUAAUUAAAUUUAAUAUAAUCAUCAUUUGCGUGGUGAUUUUUCAAAAUAAAUACAUACAUGUCUUAUUAUUGUAUAACUGACAUAAUAUUUCUGAUACAUUCUAUAAUUUCUUCAAAAGACAAGGGCAGCGUUAUUAAUUUAAUGGGCCAUUAUUUUUAAAGUUGUUUAGUUGCAUUUGGGAAGAUCCAUCUUUACCAAUCACCGAUUGAAAUUAACAGUUGAAAAUGAAAAUAUUGAUCUCUCAAAAACGUUUGAGAAAUCAUAGUUUCAUCCCCAACUUUUCCUCUUGAUAAUGAGCACUGCGCACCCGUAUCAAUAACUAGCUAUCAUUCUCAAUUAUUAAAGGGACGAGAUUUAUAUAUAAUUAAGUGUUUUUUCAACUUAAGAGACUAUUCUUAACCGUCCAGCACGAGUCCCAAUAGGAGAAGAGAUGCGAUUAUAUUUAGAAUAUCGAAAACUUGACCGAAAAUUCCCCUCUUAUUUGGAAGCAUUUCAUAAGCCAAUAUAAAAAUAAUUAGAAACCAAGUCAUAGAGAAAGAUAAAUUAUAUUAGUGAGAGAAAUGAAAGAAAUACUCACUCGUGAGAGAGUAAACAAAAGGUCCGAUUUCCAAAACAGGGAGCCCUGCUGGAAACAAAUUGCUUUGAGCUCUCCGUGCAAGGGUAUAAGGUACCUCGAGUGCGUAAUACGUUGACAUGCUGAAGACAUAUGAUUCUUUGUCGCUGUUUGGAACACAGGAUCAAAGAUGAACUUUAGAACUCUUAUUCAUGAGCCACCUAGAAAUGGUCUUACACUGUGGAAAAUCGGAAUCCGUCACCGGUCAGCUGCUGAAUUCUUCAUGCCAGAUCCCCACAAGAAAUUUAAGAACCCAUCGCUCACUAGACCCUCUGACAGUUAGUUCUCUAAUUAAAUAAUUUAACUUAAAUUCGCUUUAGUCGAUACACCAUUAAUUAAUUUAUUUACAGCUUAAUAAUAAUUUUGAAUAUAACUUACAAAUAGAUUUGUGCAAUACGGAUUAUGAGAAGGAUAUGCAGAUUUUAUAUUCCAAUGAUGAUCUCCAAUACACCAUUGGCGUCAGCAAUUACAUUCGAGAUUGGUUCUUUGCUCAUGUCACCAGGAGCUUAUUAUUUCAUCGAUGAUGGAUCUCUUGUCUUUGCUAUACUAAUCCUAUAGACCAACAAGUGUUAAAAAGACCGGGCUCUUAAUAUUCUAAUGGUCGAUUCGCAUUGCAGGAAGUAGAAAAUAAUAUUUGCCAACCGACCGCGAACGUGAGCAACAACGGAAAUUACCCACUCCAGUGGUCUUGUCAGCAGCUACUUACUCUAAUUUAAGGUUACAAAUUAAUUAAUAAUUAACAAUUCUAGCUAGCAUUAACUCCAAAACCACCUCAUCAUCACUUCGUUUGCCUAGUGGGCUCUUCGCCCCCGCCCCCACCCCAACACCCCCCCCCCCCCCCCCCCCCCCCCAAACCCCCCCCCCCCCCCCCCCCCUCAACAAUGGUAUAAAAUAAAAGGUGCGGUCAAUAUUCGUCGAAGAGAUAGGCGGAGUCCACUAUUCUCGGGAGAAAUGGUAGGAAGGGACAAUGCGGUAGCUGGACAUGGGAUUCAUGUACUGUACACAAGCACCAACGUGCCAAGUUAUUGGCUUUACAGAGAAAAGAAUACGAACUAUCCUACUCAAUCAAGAAGUGGCGGAUCCUUCCAAAGAGUCAUGUAUGAUUAAUUAUAUUCGCUGAAACACCCCGACCACGGAAACCGAAUUACAUUUUAGAGGCGGUAAUUUUCCUUAAUAAGAGAUCAAACUUUGUCAUCGUGUAUGAAUGAAUGUAUUUGUAAAGAAAUUGAGAUGUGGUUUUUUUUUUUUUCAUAUUGAAGUGUGUGUGUGUGUGUAUAUGACAAUGGAAAAUUGUAGAUAUAAAAUUAAAUAAAGUAAUUCUUUGAUGAAAUUAUUUGGGUCUUGGUAAGAAAAGUAUAGGCUCCGCAGUCAGCAAAUAUGACUUUUAUGCCUUGAUUUGUUCUAAUCAACUGCGUGCUCGCGAUGCUGUUUACCACUGCCAAUUGUAGUGACACGUUUGCCCUCGCCGUAAUGGAGCUUUUUUCGUCAUCAAAAAGCUGGACGGUUUUUUCCCGUCUAUUUUAUUUUUUAAACUUCAUCCGUGUUUACACGGUAAAAUAGUAAUUUAACAAAGUUCUGUUAAAAGUUGGGCUUUGUAGGCGGGGAGGCAAUUGCCCGUUGCCUAUUAACUGAAACAUGGCAUCUAAAUGAUAAUAACUCAAACCUCAGGGUAGAAAAAUAAUAACAACCUAGAGUUUUAAUUUUAAAUUAACAACGGAUCCUCUAUCUUACAAUUAAUGUAAGAUACACCCCUUACAUGAACAAUAUAUAAACCCCACAUAUGCAUUGUUCAUGUAAGAGGAUGUAUCUUACAUUAAUUGUAAGAUAGGGAUUAUCAUUAACAAAUCGUAUAUCGCGACGUCUUAUCGGAGUUGUUGAAUACUGAAAAAUCCACAGAUCCACCUAUGUUACGGCUCUUUUGUCUUUUCUUACUUUGUUAUUGUAAAAUUUGCAUUGAAGCCCUUACACUCUGUUUUACUUCAUUAAAAUCCUUAGAGUAUCAAAUUCGUCCCCUAUAAUUUUUAAAUUUCGAAAAUACCAUCCAUUUAAUUAAAGAAUAUAAUUAUUAUUAAAUGGAUUAUAAUUAUAAUUAUUAUAUUUUUAUAAUUAUAAAUAUAAUUUUUAAAUGGAUUGUUAUUAUUACUAUUAUUAUUAUUAUUAACAACAAUAAAAGGUAUUAUAAUUAAUUAAUAAAUUAACAAUAAUUAAUAAGAAUUUUUAGUUAAAUUAAUAAUAAUAAUUAUCACAAUAAUUAAAAUACAAAAUAAUAAUUAUGGUAAAAAUUAAUUAAAGAUUUUAUAGUAAUUUAUUACAGUUUAACUCAUUACGAUUUUGAUUCUAAGAUAAAGUAAACACAUCAAUGACAAUACAGCUUAUUCUAACUACGAUUCUUGCAGUUCAAGUAAAUAGAUUAUUCCGAUUCAAAUUCUUCAUUUCAAUUUUAUCUAUUCUGAUUCUAACUCAUUUUGAUUCCAGUUAAUUUCAAUUCUCGUAUAGUGAAUGCACUAUAAAAUUGUAAACAUUUCAUAUAUAUUUUUUCCAUUUCUUCUUCCCCUCUCUCACACACUCUCUCUCUCUUUGUGAUGAGUCUAAUGGUAGCUUUAAUUGUCGAUACAGGUUGCUGAAGAGAAAUUAAUAGUGGAGAGGGAUAGAUUUAAAGGGAAUUUCUUUUUUUAUUUUGUUAAUCCUUUUAUCAUGAAAGUAGUAAUUAUUAUGAGAUUAUAUUAUAAAGAAGAUGAAUGGUAAUAUUCUUAAAAAUUUUGUUGAUGAUGAGUGAUGGAAGAUGAGAUGCCGUAAUUUUUAAAGAGAGGAAAGUAUUUUUUUAGCACUAAUUUAAGUAUAUUUUUGUCUUUUUAUUAAUAUUAGUGUGUUAUGAUAACUAAUGUGUCGUGGUUGUAAAUAGAAAUUCUUUUGACACUUACAAAAAAAAAAGUAAAUGAAAAAGAAUUUAAGGAGAUAAAUUAAAUUUUCGUAGUAUAGGUAAGCAGAAAGUUUCAUAAUAGUUAUGAACAAAUUAUAAACAAAAUAGAGUGUAAGGGUUCAAGGAAAUUUUACAAUAACAAAGAAAGAAAAGACAAAAGAGCCGUAAGUUACAAGAGCUGUAGCUUAGGCGGAUCCAAAAUCCAUGUUCGAACUUGCUUGGAAAAUCCUUUGUUCAAUUUUAGUUAGCUCUCCAAAUACGACCGCACUCUUUUGUCUUCAGAGCUGAGUGGCAAGUCAAGCAAGUGAACUUCUCCCGAAAAUAUCAUCAAAUUGCCUGCAUUUCAUAUUUUCACUUCACUCUUCUCUUCUCUUCGAAGUUGGGUGAAAAAUGGCAGAAAAGUCAUUAUCAGGGCAAGUGCAGCAGAAAAAGGCCUCAGGAUGGGCAGCCAGGGACACUUGUGGUGUUCUCUCUCCCUUUGAUUUCUAUAGAAGGUUCUCUUCUCUUAAUCUUUGUCUUUCUUUGAUAAAUGAAUGGUGGUUUUUCAUGUGACGUGAUUUGGCUUUAUAUGCAGGGCAACGGGAGAGAAAGAUGUAACUAUCAAAGUGCUGUACUGUGGGAUUUGCCGUUCGGAUCUUCACAUGCUCAAAAACGAUUGGGGCAUUUCUACUUACCCUCUGGUUCCAGGGUGCGUAUGAUCUUCAACAUUUCAUUUCUCUUAGUUAUCAUUUAUCAAACAUGUGUGUGUACAUAUAUUUACAUAUUUAAUUCAAUAGAAUAUUAAAUAAUUGAAGAUUGUUAAUGAAAGUUCCGUUCUCACACCCGCUAUUCCAAUAUUGUCGGAACAAAAUAAAAAGAUUGUAUGUCUUGAUAUGAAAAUAUUUGAUACAUGAAAGCCUAACACAAAUAACUGCAUCAUAAGUUUCAUAAAGAUUUUUUUCAAUACAAUAUAUUUCAAAUUCACACCACAACAGAAAUGGCUUUUUGCAAUAAAAAGAUUUUGUUGCCUAAAGUGCUAAUUUUGUUGCCAUAGGUUAUUGCUACAAAAACAAGCUUGUCGACCUAGUCGUCGGCCUAGCACUGUCGCCCUCUAUGUUUAACAACAUAUCAAAACAUUUCUCGCCUCAAACUUCCUUUCGCAACAAAACAGAUUCGUUGUGAAGGAGUCUUCAACUUGUUUAGAGAAUAAUUUGGCAACAAACAUUUUUGUUGCGCUAAACAGUUUUACACAACAAAAUUAUUUUGUUUCUAUAUAGUUAUUUGCUACAAAACUAAUUUGUUGCUAAGAAAUAAAGUACAUUUUAUAAAAAAAACAUGUACCAACAAAGGUGUUUGUUAGCUAAGAUCAUUUUAGGCAACAAAACUACUUUGUUUCUUUAUGUUGAAAAUUUUACAAAUUUGCAAUAAAUAUUUAAAUAUUUUUAGAAACAAAUCAAUUUUGUCAUUAAAAAAUACUACAAUUUUUUUUAAUAAUAUCAUGGUAUAAAAGGAAGCAAACCAAGUUCGUUGGGAAAUAUACCAAUUUUUCCCCCCACCAUGACAAUAAUAAACUAGAAAUAUAUGUUGAGAAAUCUAACAAAAAAAUCAUUAAUGUCAUUGAACUAAUUUAAAAGUUAAAGGCCCAUUCAGUAUCCAAGCUAUAUAUAUAUACAAAACUGACUUUAAGAAUCACAUAUGAUAGUCAAAUACAAAAGUGGAUUGUCAUUUAUCCCAAAAAUGUAAUGAGCAAAAAUUAUAAACGAUCUCUAAUUACAACUACUCCAAACUCCAAAUACUUAAAGAUAUGACAUGCACUCCAAACUCCAAAUACUUAAAGAUAUGACAUGCACCAACAGUAACCAAAAAGAUCAAGUGAUGACCAAUUCAAAAUACUAACAAGUUCAAGAUACUCUAAGGACAUCAUUGAAAUGAGUAAUCAUUGAGUAGCUGAAUCUGUAAAGCGAAAAGCAGAUUCUUGAGAAGAAAAAAAUUGCUGCAUCAUACCCUCAAAUUGGGACAAUCUGGACUCCAAUUGAUCAAUAGUCUUCUUUUGCUGUUGAAGCUCAACAUCUUGUGAAUCCAAUCUACUUUGUUGUGAAGAUAUAAUGCCAUGCAAUCUGUCAGCCUCAGAAGUAUCAACACCAUGGUUUGAAGUUGGGCGUGGUCCGUUGCCAAGUCCUCGAAAAUAGCCUGAUUUCUUUCCAAGUACUUCAAUGCAUAUUUCCCUUUAAGUUAGUGGUUUUGCCUUGAGGAUCUAUUUGUUGCUGUUGUUAUAUCUCUACCAUUUGGUCCUAUACAUAAAGCUUUGUUAGUAAAUGAAGGANNNNNNNNNNNNNNNNNNNNNNNNNNNNNNNNNNNNNNNNNNNNNNNNNNNNNNNNNNNNNNNNNNNNNNNNNNNNNNNNNNNNNNNNNNNNNNNNNNNNAAAAAAAACAAACUUCUUGUUAUACUUAUAAUUCUAAUUAUUUGAUAUUUCAAAUAAUAAAGUUAAUUAGAGCAUGAAAGAAAAAUUAAGAAAAAAAAAACUCAAUGAGUAAACUUUCAUCAACAGUAUGUAGGUGAUAAGAAAUAAUAAAAUUAAAAAUUUUGUUUCCAACAAAGCAUCUUACAUGGUUUAAGUGUGCCACCUCAUUCACCCAACCUUUUGUCUUGCUGAAAUGAGUGACACGAAAUAAUUCUAUUUCACCAUCAACCAUGUCAUCCUCAAGAUAAUUAACAAAAGGUCUUGAUCCCCCGCAAUGGACAUAUGGGAGCUUAGCAUGAUUAGCUUUGUUUUUGGUAGAUUGAGUCUACAUUAAAAAAAUAUAACAGUGGAAAAUAAGAUACAUAUACAAGCAUAUUGACAACUAGUUGGACAAUUUAAAGUUCAUAAUAUGAAUAUCAUUGGACCUGGAAACUUGCGGAAUUGCAAAUGUUAUGACAAAGCCAAGCCCAAUCAUCUGGACAUAUGCCCGGAUAUGAAUGCUUAAGUGCCUCUUCAAAGGAUGGAUAAUCCAAGUAAUGAUCAUACAUCCAAUGUCUCAUAUCGCGAUAUCUCCCACCCAUAAUGUUAUUCACACAUCGACGAACAUGUGGUAAGUUCAAAUCAAUCUCAAACUUUGACUGAAUUUAGGAAAAAAAAGAUAUCUCAGUUUAUAAUUUAAAAAAAUGACAGAUGAAGAAUAUUAAUAAUCAUAAGUACUUACUAAUAGUUGAUCAAACAAAACCUACCAAUUAAACUCUUUAAAUACCAAAUUCUAGAGUUGUAACAACACCUUGCACAAACUCUUGGCUGGGCAUAACAGGCUGAGAUUGGGGAAUUGUAGAUGCAACAACAAUUUUUGCUCUUACACGUUUGGUAACUCUAUGUCCAGGACCCAUCUAGUAAUUAUUAAAAAUAUACAUUAGAGUUUAUUAAUAAUCAACAUAAAAAUAAAUCAAGAAAACUAUAAUUUUGUCAAAGAAAUUAUAACAUGAAAGAUCCUAUUACUGGGCAUAGAUCCUACAUUCAUUUGACUAUUGUCCACAAACUCAGGUUCUUCACCAUGAAAAACCCAUGAAAAAUCCAUUAACUUUAAUUUAACAAAUUAAAAAUUGAAACAAAGACCCACUUAAUAAAUAAUUAAAGCAAAACCCACUAAACAAAAUCAAACUCAACAGGCCAAUAUAUAAAAUAAAACUAAAUUUACUUGAAGAAAUCGUUGUCUUCAGUGGUGCCUUCCAAGUACAACUCUUCAAUGGCUUAAAGCUUGGGUAGAGAGAAUGACUCCAUGGCAGGGCAAAAGAAACAAGCGACGAGUAAAGUGGAAAUAUUCUAGAAGCAAUACUUUAAUUAAGAAAAAAUUGGAGAUGGAAACUUUACUUCGGUUAGCACGCGGUUUAUUAAAUAAAGGGCGCAGAAAUAAAAAAUUAAAAAGCCUCCCACAAAGUCAUGUUUGCUUUUAUAUUAUCUUUAUAUUUUCAUUUAUUAAUUUAAUAUUUUUGUUAACCUUUGCGCAACAAAAUUAAUCUCAUUGCAAAAAACUCUGAGAGCACAAAACAAAUUUUCUCGCUAAUCACAACUUUUUGCAAUAUUUCAUUUGUUGCAAUUGAUUCAAGUGUUUGUUGUGGAAAAACUUGAGCAACGAAACAUAUUUUGCCUUCAUUAAGCUUGUUAGGCAACAAGAACACUUUUGUUGCCAAACAUAGCGUAGGGCAAGAAAAUAUUUUGUUGCCAUAUAUUCUAAUUUUCUUGCCUAUUCCACAUCAUUAAGAAGAACAAAAUCUGUUUAGCUAUAGCGAUAAAAACUAAUUUUUGUUGCAAGAUAUGAAUUUUAGCAAUAAAGUAAGUUUUGUUGCAAUAGAAUUUGUAGCCAAUACUCUAUUUUCUUGUGGUGUCAUUAAAAUUUUAUGUACUAAUUCUUUAGUAACCCAUUGUGGUAGAAUAUCCGUGUGAGAUUUUCGUAGAUUUUGCGCGUUUCCUACGCGUUCCUUCUAUUUCUCUAAGCAAAACUCUUCACAUCGCAAUGCCUAUUAUGUCAGCUUGACUUUUCAUAAGUGGAGACAAAAUAAAGCACCCAUUAUAAAGACAUUUAAUAAUUCUUCUUGAUUCAACACACUUCGACAGUAGUGUCCAAGUAGAUUCUUUUACUUUCUCUUGAACCAUAGUAAUAUUAUUUAUUAGAUCAUUAAGUCAUUUUAUUUCUUUUGAAAUCUAUUCAAUGUUUGUUUUUAUAUGCGUCUUUUUUUAAGGGGUCUCAACUAUUGUGUGGUAUAGGGACUAUAUCCUGUAUGAAAUUUUAAAGGAUAUUGUUAUAUUAGGCACCCUCAUUUUUAUUUUAUUUUUUCAUACGGACACAAAGUUAGAAUUAAUUUAGUGUUAAUAUAUUGCAUGGUUUUAUAGUUUAUUUAAAAAAUAACUUUAUUCUAUCUUAAGUAAUGUCCUCGAUUUGAAGCUAAAUACUUAUUGGGAGAGCUUUACGGCCCUAGUGGUCUUGCCCGACUCGAAUCUGAAUUAGUCAGGGGCCAAUGUAAUCUUCGGAUAUCAGAUGAUUUAAUAUACCAGAAAAAAAUAAUACACCGAAAAAAAUAAUUUUAUUAAACUGCACGACUUAAUACCAUGUUCGUAUUGAAAAAAAAUGAAAGUGUCCACACCUGAGAAUAAAAAUGAAAAUAAAAGCAAAUUGUAGACAUGCCAUAAUUAAUAACAAUUUGAUCAAUUAAUUAAUUGUUCUAACUAAAUUAGGCGACGAAGUCCACGUCUCCUAAAUCCACCCAACCUGAAUAUUUUUAACUAGGAUUUCAAAUUGUUUCAUCCUAAAAUUUAACACCAAGUAUUUGUAGUAAUAUUUUGAUGAAUAUGUUCUGCAAAUGUACAAUUAUUAUCCCAACUGAAAUUUGUGUCACUGAAUCCCAAUGAGCAACGCAGGCAUGAAGUCAUUGGUGUAGUGACAGAGGUUGGUAGCAAAGUAGAGAAAUUCAAAGUUGGUGACAAAGUGGGUGCGGGAUUCUUGGUCGGAUCAUGCCAUUCAUGUCACAAUUGUGCUAACAAUCUUGAGAAUUACUGUCCCAAACUUAUAGGGAUAGACAGUGGUGUCGAAUACUAUGAUGGAAUGAAAACGUAUGGAGGCUACUCUGACAUUAUUGUUGUGGAUGAGCACUUCACGGUUCGUAUUCCAGAUAGCCUUCCUCUUGAUGCCUGUGCCCCAAUGCUUUGUGCUGGUAUCUCAGUUUACAGCCCUUUGAGAUCCCAUGGACUUGACAAACCAGGUAUGCAUGUCGGUGUAGUUGGCCUGGGUGGAUUAGGCCAUAUGGCUGUCAAGUUUGCUAAAGCAAUGGGGGUUAAGGUAACAGUCAUUAGUACCUCCCCUAGUAAGAAGAAGGAUGCCAUUGAACGUCUCGGUGCUGACACAUUUCUGUUUAGUCAUGAUCCGGAUGAGAUGCAGGUAUGCUGCUCCCCAUAUUUUCCCUUUUUCCUCUCUAACUUGGUUUAUGAAUACAACGACUCUUAUUUCAGAAAAUUCUCUUUGCUAAUUUUGUUCACAUUGUCUGUGCAGUCUGCCGUGAGCACCUUGGAUGGUAUCAUUGACACAGUAACCGGCUUUCAUCCUCUAUUGCCAUUACUUGGACUACUGAAAUAUAAUGGCAAGCUUGUUAUUGUCGGUGGACCAGAUAAGCUAGAGCUACCGGUUCCUCUUCUACUCUUUGGUGAGCAAAUUAAUCACGAUUCUAGUAAGCUUCGCAGAUUGAAAAAAGAAGAUGAAAAGAUCCUUAACCUUGAGUCUUAGGCUACUGUGCGGCUAAUCAGUCAAUCAAGGACAAAGUCAUAGCCAACGCAUGCGUGUUCUUUUCAUUUCUGUUAAUCUGAAAAUAUAGCUAACAAAUGUUUUUGCAAUGCCAGGGGCAAAGGCUGUUGUCGGCUGUUUCGUUGGGGGCAUGAAGGAGACUCAAGACAUGCUCAAUUUUGCAGCCGAACACAACAUAACGGCAGACAUCGAGACUAUAUCAAUCGAUAAUGCGAACACUGCCCUGGAGCGUCUUGAGAAAGGCGAUGUCAGAUAUCGAUUUGUCAUCGACGUUGGGAACACACUGAAGUCUAGCUCUUAGAUAUUUGGCUGGAUCGGCUAUACUAUAUGAUGAAAUGUUGAGUCAUAUAUAAUUAGUAUCCUGUCGGCCGGAGGAUCCGGCUGUCUUCAGUUCUGAUUUCACUUUAUUAUUGCAUGUGUUAAAGAAAUAAUUUUAGAAAAUUCAGCGUCCUGCUGCCCUGGUAGUUAAAUGGCCUAGCUACAAGCUAAUACAGGUAGGGAUGGCAAUGGGGAGGGGAGGGGAUCAAUCUCCCUGUAUUUAUUUCUGAUAUUUUACGUAUGUCUAUGUCCCCGUCAGAAUUACUUGAAAGAAUUCUCAUCCCCUUCCCGAAUAAUAACAGGAGAUCCCCAAGGGUCCCCGAUCCCCGAAUAACUAAUACAUUUUUUUUAUUUUGAGUUAAUCAUAUUAAAAUAAAAAAUUCAAAUAAAAGUAAAGUUUGAAAUAUAUUUUACAUUAAUAUCUAUUACAAAAGUCACAUACAUUAAAUUAGUAAGUAACGCAAUAUGUAAGGUAUACAAACUUCUUUUACAAACUAUCGUGAAUAAAUUAAUAGUCUAACACAAAAUUGUUACAAAUAAAAUCGAAUUUAAAUUCAAAAUUAACUUUUUCAAUAGUGGCGUGGCACUUUAUAAAUGUAGAUUAUUCCCUUUACAACAUAAUAAUUAAGUCAGAGCAAAUCAAGAGUAAAUAUUAUAUUAAAUUAGAUUAGAUUAGAUUAAAUUAGAUAUUAAAAUUGUGAUUCGUUGUGAGCAAUUAUAACAUCUAAAAAUAAAUAAAAAAUAGAUUUAAGUUUAAAACAUUUAAUGAAUAUUAAAAUUAAAACAAAUUUUUUGGGCUAAUAGAAUUUACCCAGUUUUUUUAAUGUCCUACAUAAAAAGUUAGGACUUUAAUUAGUUAAUUAGGCCUAAAAGUUUAAUAUUAUAAAUAUUUUGAUAUUUGUUAUUUUUACCAAUAUUUAUAAUUUUAUAAUUCAAAUUUUAUCAUUUAUUUACUAGUAAUUUUAAAAAAUAAAAAUAAAAUUAAAAAUUAAAAUGAGAAAAUAGGUAGGGGAUGGGGAUUCCACCUCAUCACCGUCCCCUCCCUGAAUAAGAAAUUGGGUAAAAAAAUUUCCCCGUUCCUUUCCUGAAUAAGAAAUUGAGUAUGAAAUUAUCCUCAUACCCUCUCCGAAUGGGGAAAAUCUUCGAGAGUACCCUUUCCCGUGGAAAUUUUUAUCAUCCCUAAAUACAGGACGAUGAAUAGUGAUUAGUUAUUAAUAAAAUAUAAUAAGAAAUGGACCCUAACCAUACUGGAAUUUACACUGGUCAAGAGAAACUUCAAAGUUUAGGUAAGUUUAGAUCAAGACUGCCUGAUGUUAGAGUCUACAAUUAUCAUUUACUAGCUUUCAAACCUCAAUCAAGCGAUAAAAUUAUGCAUACGCUUACAAUUUAGCAAACUUAGUUAUAAAUUGUUUUAUUUCACAUAAACGUGCAAUCGUGGAUGUUCAUAAAACUUUGGACAUUGCUCAGCUUCUACUGACUGAAGUUUUUGACUAUUUGCUUCUACUUAGGUACUUCACAUAUUUUUGUAAAAUUAAUUUCUAAGUGCACCAUGCGCCCCCGAAUUACUUGGGAGCAGCUUUGCGCCUGAGUGUGAAAAAUCUAGAUUGUCAUGAUUGCAGUGUAAGAGUACCAUACACGUGUAGUCAACUAUUAAACAUGGCGCUAUCACGUCCGGCACAAGCGUUAUUCAAUCGCAACACCUUUACAGAUGGGUGGCUGCGGCGCUGUGGAUUUUUCAGUGCCACACAAAUAUCCUCUACAAUAUAAUAUGAUUAUUUCUUAUGGCCACAAACAUUCUCAAAAAGUUGAAAUAAAGAUUCAUUAGAGGGUUUUUUUUUUUUUUUUUUUUGGGAAGGGAAGAUCACUACCGGAAAUACCGAUAAAAGAAAAAUGACUAUAUUUCAAUUCUAAAUAAAUUUGUUUUUAGAGAGGCUUUCGAGGAUUUUUACUCCCACAAGUUACCGAAGACAUAUCACUUAUAAAAUUAAUUUUUUUUCAAUAUGUUUAAUAAAUAAAUUUUAAGUAUAAAAAAAUAUCAAUAUUCUCCCAGUUUAAAAAAAAUCAAUAUUCUCCCAGUUUAAAAUUAAUUGUUGGUGGUGUUGCUUUUGACAGGUAUCCAAUCCACCUUUGACUUUGUGGCACUAGAAAUUGAAUAAUAAUAAUAAUAAUAAUAAUAAUAAUAAUAAUGGUGAAGGUGACCCAAGAAAUAUUUCGUUGGUCCGCCAUGUCAUGGACGGUGCACAUCCAUACAUAGCGCAUCCGUAUGUCACAUGUUAGCUCACUGAUUACUUCAGCAAAAUUUAUGACCCCCUCUCUCCACCUCCCUGCUGUUAGCCUGUUCCCGAUAAUUAUUAUUUUUGAGAUGCUCGAAAAUAAUUUUAAAGUUAAAAAUUAAUUUUUUUUAUAUAUUAGGAAAAUUUAAAAUUGUUCAUAUUAAUUAUAAAAUAAAAUUAUUUUGAAGAGAUUAUUAUCAUUAUCAAUAAUAUUGAGAUAAAAAAAUUAUUAUAUAUAUUAUGUUUAUUAUUAAUUAUUAUAUAUACACAAUAAAAAUUAUUAUACAUAUAUUAAAAAUAUUUUAUUUAAUAUUAUAUCCAAUUUAGGAAUUAUCAAAAUUUUAAUUUACUCUUUUUUCAAUAAAUUAUUCUCCAUCACAUCUAAUAAUUAUUAUUUUAAAAAUUAUAAUAUUAUCAAAUUAGCCCUCAUUAUAUAUAAUUUUUCUCAGUUAGGACAUCUUCACUUUAUUAAGGUCAAAAUGUUAAAAAAAUACUAUAAAAAAACGCCUUUAAUGCAUUAAAAAGUUAAGAUUAUGUUUUUCUAUCCGUUAAUAACUUAAUAUAUUGAAAUCAUCACUAAAUCAGUUGAUGAAUCCACGAUUACACAGUUACAUUAGCUAAAUUUAACGACUAAAAAUAAUUAUGGUACCAUACUAUAGUUGCAACAUAGCUGAACUCCACUAAAUAAUGAAUAUAUUAAUAUGUUAAUAUAUUAUAAAAUAAAAUAUAUUAUAUUAAAUUUUAUAUUUAUAUUUUUUAAUUUGAUCUUCUCUUUAAUAUUUUUUUUGUCUUAACCACGAGGUGGAGGGGGCCUUAAUUGUGGGAGGUACUUUUAAACUCGUGCCACAACCCAGAUUAGAAGUCUCUGCUCGAAUCAGAAAGCAAAUGUUCUCCCAACAAAGGCGACUUCUUUGCGACUCGAACUGAGAAGCAAACUCAAUCAAAUCACUUAAAGAUGACUCCAUUACCAAUGAAUCCAACACUUUAUUGGUUAUCUUCUCUUUAAUAUAAUAAAAAAUGUUGAUUAGAAACAUAUGUACACACAUUAAUAUUCAUAUGAAACAAAAACAAAAACAGGUACUUUCACUCGUCUCAUCACGUCAUUCAAACCACUAUAAUAAUGAUAACAUUGCCGUUCUCUCAUCCAAAAUGGCAAAAUCACGAGAAGAAGAACAUCCAGUAAAGGCCUUUGGGUGGGCAGCCCGAGACAGCUCCGGCCAUCUCUCCCCAUUCAAAUUCUCCAGAAGGUAAUUAAUAGUUGAGCAUAAUAUAUGUGUGUGAUGCUGCUUUAAAUUUAUUUAAAAUUUUGUUGCUGCACGUGUUGAUGAAAUGGUCAUAAACAUGGAUAUGUAAAAUACGGACAGGGAAACGGGUGAUGAGGAUGUGAGGCUGAAGGUAUUGUAUUGUGGGAUCUGCCAUACUGAUCUCUCCAACAUCAAGAAUGAAUGGGGCUUCUCUCUCUUCCCUAUGGUUCCUGGGUAUGUACUCCUGAUCUAUCCAUCCUUCAAUUUUUGUUUCUUUUGCAUUUUUUUUCUUUUGUUUUUGUUUCGGAUCAAACCGAGCUGCGUAGUAACAGGCUGUUGUUUCCGUCACAGCGCUUCCUGAUUAUUAACUACGGUACUUUCCUGUGUAUACAGAAAGAAAUUAACCAAGGCCAUGGCUUUAGGAUCUUUUAAUUUGAUGCAAAUCGUUCCCCAUCCUAUUUAAUUCAAUCUUGUAUGGGGUUGCUAUUGAAAUAUUGGUAAUGAGGAUUUUAAUCUUACCGUUUCAUAUUUGAUGUGAUGAAUAACUGGAAUCUCCUGUUAAAAGUGACAAAUAUAUAUAUAUAUACGUGUCAUUUUCUUACAACAAAUUAAACAAAAAUAGAGACACGCAAAUUUUAAUAUAAUAUAAAAUAAAAUAUAUUGGAUGAAAAUAUGUAUUUUUCUUAUACAUUAUCUUCAUAACUCUUGGUAGAUUUAUACUCUCUAUCUUAUAAAUAAAGGGUGGAAAUAACAAUUAACUCAAUUAAAGCGUUCUUAGCAUAGAUAUCUUUUUUUUUCCAGUAAAAUUAAUUUAUUUCCAUUUGACUCUGUACAAUUUUUAAAUGUUCCAGUGUAGUGGCCAGUGGGGUGCCUUGGCAUCAUUAGAGUAGUGAGAUCACACUAAAGACUUAACCCAGCAAAAUGAAGACUUAUAACUUGAAUUUGCAUCUGUAAUUGUGGAAUAGUCAAUUAUGAGAUUUUCUUGAGAGAUAGACGAGGUUGACAAAUAAACGGAGACAUGACUUUUUUUUUUUUUUAAGAGAAUUAUUGCUCAUGAUAUUUACACCAUACAAAGUACUGAGACCAGUUUACAUCAAUUCUGAUAUGGUACUACUCAGAUUUUUUUACCCUCUCAAAUAUUCGAGGGACGUCUAACUCCCAUCCUAGGAGAACUAUGGCUCAUGAUAUUUACACCAUAUAAAUUACUGAGAUCAGUUUAUCUUAAUUCUAAUAUGGCAUCGCUUUGAUUUUUUAACCCUCUUGAAUAUUCGAGGGACGCCCACCUCUCAUCCUGGAAGAAAGACUGUCUUCACUCAAGCUCUAGGACUCCAAAGAAUGAAAUUUUAAAUUAAAUUCCUACAAUGCCUCUGCUGGGACUCAAACCAUUUCCCUCAUAUUUGUGAGGGAGUGGACUUGGGCUAAGCCAAGUGGUUAACGGAGACAUGACUUGUAACUUGAAUUUGCAUUCAAAUGAAGACUUGUAAAUUAUCAAAUUUCAAAUUUCUUUUCUUGAAGAAUUUUAUGAUCAAGAAACUUACUGACUAAAGAAAAGUUGGUGGAGUAGUGUAGUAUAUACGUUUCUAGAAGUUAGCUAAUUAUAUAUUGUCAAAAACAGAAUCAAAUACCUUGUUUCCACUAAAGUAAUUUAUCUUAAACAAAUUGUAUUUAUUUGCAGGCAUGAAAUUGCAGGGGAAGUGACAGAAGUUGGUAGCAAAGUAAGAAAGGUUAAAGUGGGAGAUAAAGUUGGAGUUGGAUGCAUGGUCGGUGCAUGCCACAGCUGCGAGAGCUGUGCCAAUGACCUUGAAAAUUACUGUCCGAAAAUGAUACUCACCUACAGUUCCAUUAACACUGACGGAACAAUCACAUACGGAGGCUACUCUGAUCACAUGGUUGCCAAUGAGCGCUACAUUGUUCGAUUCCCUGAUAGCAUGCCCCUUGAUGCUGCUGCCCCCCUGCUUUGCGCCGGGAUUACCGUGUACAGUCCAUUGAAAUACUUUGGACUAGCAGAACAAGGAAAGCAUGUAGGCAUCGUUGGCCUUGGCGGGCUUGGUCAUGUCGCUGUCAAAUUUGCCAAGGCUUUUGGGGCCAAAGUGACAGUAAUUAGCACCUCUCCAAGCAAGAAGACUGAAGUUCUUGAACAUCUUGGCGCUGAUUCAUUUUUGAAUAGCCGUGACCCUGACCAAUUGCAGGUAAUUUAAUUAGAUUCACGCAUAUAUUGGAGAAAAAUAAAAAAUAAAAUGCAUUCCUUAAUUUUAAUAUAUAUUUUGUAAUAACUUCAUCAGGGUGCUAUGGGCACAUUGGAUGGUAUUAUUGACACGGUGUCCGCUGUGCACCCCAUUUUGCCAUUGGUCGGUCUAUUAAAGUCCCAGGGCAAGCUUGUUCUGGUUGGUGCUCCGGACAAGCCACUCGAGCUACCUGUGAUUUCCUUAAUUAUGGGUAAGUUCUAACAAAAUUCUUCGGAAACUUGUGGUCUAAAACUUGUAAUUAAUAUAAUUCAUUUGAUAACAUAAAAUGACAUAGCAGGGAGGAAGACGGUGUCAGGGAGCAGCACUGGGGGAAUGAAAGAGACGCAAGAGAUGAUUGAUUUUGCAGCAAAACACAAUAUAACAGCUGACAUUGAGGUUAUUUCGAUGGAUUAUGUCAAUACGGCAAUGGAGAGGCUUGCCAAGGCUGAUGUUCGGUAUCGAUUUGUCAUUGAUAUUGCAAACACCUUGUACGCCACCAAACCUUGAAGAAUCAGAAUCAGAUUGAUGUCUUCAAUUCACAACCUUGUUCCAUGAUCCACUUUGCUAUAUGUAAUGCUCCCUCGAUCAUUACACUCUUUUAGCGCUUAAAUUACUUUUAAUUUCCAGUUACAUCGACCCUAAUUAUGUCGUGAUUGCCGAAAAACUAUAAAUGUUAAUGAAAUAAAACAUUGUUCAUAUAAAAUAUUUAGCAUAUGUACCUUUCACCAAUUGUCCAGUCGAAAUGUUUGUUUUUGUUCUAAAUCACAUAUAGAGUUUUGCUCUCAUGCGGCACUUUUCAUUUUUUGUUCUUCUCAUACCAACGCUAUCCAGUCAUAUAAUUCAAUAAAAUUAGUAUCGAUGGCAGAAAUCUAUAAAAUCAUAUUCGCAAAGGUACGUAGCAACAGCAGCGUCUAGGUUCCUCUGACCUUGAACAAAAAUAUACGAUUGGUCUAAAUAACUCAUGAAUUCAUAUCACAAUUUUCAACACUGCAUGUAUGUUUUCCAGCAGAAAAUUUCUUAGGAUUAGGGUUUAGUGCUAUGUUGAAUUUUUAUCGAGUAUUGAAUCAAUCAUUGAAUUAAUAGUUAUAAUUGUUUUAAAUUUUUCAAUUUUUACAAUUUCUUCUAUUAAUAACUAUUGAUUCAAUAUUCAGUAAAAAUUUAAUUUAGCGCGCAAUCCUUAUUCGACUUUGCAACCAAAGAAAACAAACAAAACUUCAUCCGUCAAUGGAAGCAUUUUCUUAGGACCUCACGGUUCACCCCCAAUGUUGAUGCAUGGUGGAUGAUUCUAUCAAGAUGAAUAUAGUUCAAGUUUUACCACCCCAUCAAAUCUAUCAUGAAAUUUCAUUUAUUCUUUUUUUUUUUUUGGUAGAUCUUAAUAUGUACUAUGAUUGAAAAAGAGAGAGAGAGAAUAGUAAAAUCCAUAUUUAAAAUGGUAUGUGGUAUGUACAUAGUAGUACAUGAUCUAUAAUGGUAUGUAUAUGAUGUACAUGAUAUGAUCUAAUCUCUGCUUGUGUACAUUAUGAAAUGUAAUAUUUUUAUCAUAUUUAGGAGGAUAAACGUCUUAUUAUUUAAGAUAAUAAUUGUUAAUGUGUACAUUAUAAAUACUCAUCAUCUGGUUAUUCUAGAAGGCUCUUUGAUAGGAUUCUAUUGGUAUUUGAAAAAAAAUAUCAAUAUUCUCCCACUUUAAUUAAUUUUUUUCCAAGAUGUUUAAUAAAUAAAUUUUAAGUAUAAAAAAUAUCAAUAUUCUCCCAGUUUAAAAAAAUUCACAAAAAAAAAUUAUUUUUAAAAAUAAUUACACAAAUUUAUUAUUAUUUUUAUUUAAUUUAAAUUUAACUGCAAGAUUUUUAAAAAUUCAAAAGAAUUUAAAUUAAGAAAAGAUCUUAUCUUUUUAAAAAUAUAUAAAUUUAAUUUUUUAUUCAACAAUAGUUAUACAAUACCUUAUGAUCUUCUUUUAUGUUAAAAAGUAAAAAAACUACAAAAUUCACAUUAGCCUUUAAAAUUUAUCAAAAAAAAUAUUUGUAAUUAUUUAAAAAAAAAUCAAAAUUUUUGUGAUCAUUAAUUCCAACGAAUCAGCGCGCUGGGUUCUCAUUUUGCCGUAAGUCUCAUAAUGGUUGUUGGUGGUGUUGCUUUUGACAGGUACCCCACGUUUGAGUUUGUGACACUAGGAAUUGAAUAGUAAUAAUAAUGGUGAAGGUGACCCAAGAAUUACCUUUGCUGGUCCGCCAUGUCAUGGACGGUGCACAUCCAUACAUAGAGCAUCCGUAUGUCACAUCUUAGCUCACUGAUUACUUCAGCAAAAUUUAUGACCCCCUCUCUCCACCUCCCUGCUGUUAGCCUGUUCCCGAUAAUUAUUAUUUUUGAGAUGCUCGAAAAUAAUUUUAAAGUUAAAAACUGAUUUUUUAUAUAUAUUAGGAAAUUUUAAAAUUAUUCAUAUUAAUUAUAAAAUAAAAUUAUUUUGAAGAGAUUAUUAUCAUUAUCAAUAAUAUUGAGAUGAAAAAAUUAUUAUAUAUAUUAUGUUUAUUAUUAAUUAUUAUAUAUACACAAUAAAAAUUAUUAUACAUAUAUUAAAUAAAUUUUAUUUAAUAUUAUAUCUAAUUUAAGAAUGAUCAAAAUUUUAAUUUACUCUUUUUUCAAUAAAUUAUUUAUGCAUCACAUCUAAUAAUGAUUAUUUUAAAAAUUAUAAUAUUAUCAAAUUAGCCCUUAUUAUAUAUAUUUUUUUCUCAAUUAGGACAUCUUCACUUUAUUAAGAUUAAGAUGUUAAAAAAAUAUUAAAAAAAUAUCUCGUCUUUAAUGCAUUAAAAAAUUAAGAUUAUAUUUUUCUAUCCGUUAAUAACUUAAUAUAUUGAAAUCAUCACUAAAUCAGUUGUUAAAUCCACGAUUACACAGUUAUAUUAACUAAAUUUAACGGCUGAAAGUAACUGUGGUACCAUAUUAUAGUUACAACAUAACUGGACCUCACUAAAUAAUGAAUAUAUUAUAAAAUAAAAAAUUUUAUAUUAAAUUUUAUAUUUAUAUUUUUUAAUUUAUCUUCUCUUUAAUAUAAUAAAAAAAACUUGAUUAGAAACAUCUGUACACACAUUAACAUUCAUAUGAAGCAUAAACAAAAACAGGUACUUUUACUCGUCUCAUCACAUCAUUCAAACCAAUACAAUAAUGAUAACAUUGCCGUUCUCUCAUCAAAAUGGCAAAAUCACCAGAAGAAGAACAUCCAGUAAAGGCCUUUGGGUGGGCAGCCCGAGACAGCUCCGGCCAUCUCUCCCCAUUCAACUUGUCGUGCGAGUUCAUUAAGUACUUUCUCUUAUUUUAUUUUAAGAAGGACAAAAGUAACUAAACCAUUUUGUUACUGUACGUGUUGAUGAAAUGGUCAUAAACGUGGAUAUGUAAAAUACGGACAGGGAAACGGGUGAUGAGGAUGUGAGGCUGAAGGUAUUGUAUUGUGGGAUCUGCCAUACUGAUCUCCACAACAUCAAGAAUGAAUGGGGCUUCUCUCUCUUCCCUAUGGUUCCUGGGUAUGUACCCAUGAUCUAUCUACCCUUCAAUUUUUGUUUCUUUUGCAUUUUUUUUUGUUUCGGGUCAAACCCAGCUACGCAUGAACAGGCUGUUGUUUCCGUCACGGCGCUCCCUAAUUAUUAACUACGGUACUUGCCUGUGUAUGCAGAAAGAGAUUAACCAAGGCCAAGGCUUUGGGAUCUUACCGUUCCAUAUUUGAUGUGAUGAAUAACUGGAAUCUCCUGGUAAAAGUGACAAACAUAUAUAUUUACGGGUCAUCAUCGUUUAAUAAGAUUUUCUUACAACAAAUUAAACAAAAAUAGAGACACACAAAUUUUAAUAUAAUAUAAAAUAAAAUAUAUUGGAUGAAAAUAUGUAUUUUUCUUAUACAUUAUCUUCAUAACUCUUGGUAGAUUUAUACUCUCUAUCUUAUAAAUAAAGGGUGGAAAUAACAAUUAACUCAAUUAAAGCGUUGUUAGCAUAGAUAUCUUCUUUUUUUCCCAAUAAAAUUAAUUUAUUUCCAUUUGACUCUGUACAAUUUUUAAAUAUUCCAGUGUAGUGGCCAGUGGGGUGCCUUGGCAUCAUUAGAGUGUGGAGAUCACACUAAAGACUUAACCCAUCAAAAUGGUACACCUGUGUAAUUGCGGAAUGGUCAAUUAUGAGAUUUUACUUGAGGGAUAGACGAGGUUGACAAAUAAACGGAGACAUGACUUGUAACUUGAAUUUGCAUUCAAAUGAAGACUUGUAAAUUUUCAAAUUUCAAAUUUCUUUGCUUGAAGAAUUUUAUGAUUGAGAAACUUACUGACAAAAGAAAAGUUGGUGGAGUGGUGUAGUAUAUACGUUUCCAGAAGCUAGCCAGUUAUAUAUUGUCAAAAACAGAAUCAAAUACCUUGUUUCCACUAAAGUAAUUUAUCCUAAACAAUUUGUAUUUAUUUGCAGGCAUGAAAUUGCAGGGGAAGUGACAGAAGUUGGCAGCAAAGUAAGAAAGGUUAAAGUGGGAGAUAAAGUUGGAGUUGGAUGCAUGGUUGGUGCAUGCCACAGCUGCGAGAGCUGUGCCAAUGACCUUGAAAAUUACUGUCCGAAAGUGAUACCCACCUACACUUCCAUUAACACUGACGGAACAAUCACAUACGGAGGCUACUCUGAUCAAAUGGUUGCCAAUGAGCGCUACAUUGUUCGAUUCCCUGAUAGCAUGCCCCUUGAUGCUGCUGCUCCCCUGCUUUGCGCCGGGAUUACCGUGUACAGUCCAUUGAAAUACUUUGAACUAGCAGAACAUGGAAAGCAUGUAGGCAUCGUUGGCCUUGGUGGGCUUGGUCAUGUCGCUGUCAAAUUUGCCAAGGCUUUUGGGGCCAAAGUGACAGUAAUUAGCACCUCUCCAAGCAAGAAGACUGAAGCUCUUGAACAUCUUGGCGCUGAUUCAUUUUUGAAUAGCCGUGACCCUGACCAAUUGCAGGUAAUUUAAUUAGAUUCACGCAUAUAUUGGAGAAAAAUAAAAAAUAAAAUGCAUUCCUUAAUUUUAAUAUAUAUUUUGUAAUAACUUCAUCAGGGUGCCAUGGGCACAUUGGAUGGUAUUAUUGACACAGUGUCCGCUGUGCACCCCAUUUUGCCAUUUGUCGGUCUAUUAAAGUCCCAGGGCAAGCUUGUUCUGGUUGGUGUUCCGAACAAGCCACUCGAGCUACCUGUGAUUUCCUUAAUUAUGGGUAAGUUCUAACAAAAUUCUUCGGAAACUUGUGGUCUAAAACUUGUAAUUAAUAUAAGUCGUUUGAUAACAUAAAAUGACAUAGCAGGGAGGAAGACGGUGUCAGGGAGCAGCAUUGGGGGAAUGAAAGAGACGCAAGAGAUGAUUGAUUUUGCAGCAAAACACAAUAUAACAGCUGACAUUGAGGUUAUUUCGAUGGAUUAUGUCAAUACGGCAAUGGAGCGACUUGCCAAGGCUGAUGUUCGGUAUCGAUUUGUCAUUGAUAUUGCAAACACCUUGGCCGCCACCAAACCUUGAAGAAUCAGAAUCAGAAUCAGAUUGGUGUCUUCAAUUCACAACUUUGUUCCAUGAUCCACUUUGCUAUAUGUAAUGCUCCCUCGAUCAUUACACUCUUUUAGCGCUUAAAUUACUUUUAAUUUCCAGAUACAUCGACCCUAAUCAUGCCGUGAUUGCCAAAAAACUAUAAGGGUGCGUUUGGCACACUAUAU